rnacentral:lncRNA from 1 species
AUGCUUUGGAUGAUUAUAUGAUCUUUCUCUUUUUUUAUAGGCUAAAUUACAUAAAAUCUCCUGUCAAAAUCUAAUUUUUCACUUUCUCUUCCUGUCAUUUACAAAUCUACACUUUGUUUUCUUGUAAAAUAAAAAAUGGUCACAGGGGGUAUGAUGUGAACUGUGAUGACAAAAUGACCAUUUUGCCCCUCACCAUUUUUGGCAACAAGAAAGAAGGUUGAGGGCAUUUUUGGCACUAAAAAAUAUAUAAUAAUAUUUUAUUAACGGAAUUCUAACGAAUCACUAACGGCAAGGGGUGAAGUGAAUAUUUUUUAUUUUACAAGGGGGUAAAGUGUAAGUUUUUAAAUGUCAAAGGAGGGAAAGUGAAAAAUCGGGUUUUGACCGAAAAAUUUUCUGUAAUUUAGCUUUUUUUAUAUUGCAAUUUGAUCUACGUGUACUUCUCCAUAUUGUGUGUGUCAAAUUGCUUUUUCGGAAAAUAACACUGACAACAGUUUUUUAGCUGGAAAAGUAUUUUUCUUUUUCAGAUUUAGUAGAAAAAUAGUAUUUUUGCUUUUCAUAUUUUUUUAUUCAAUAAUUAAAAAUUGUAGAAAAGGAAGUUUUCUUUGGGAAACUUAUUUUUCGGAAAAUAAUUUUUCAUGCUUUUUCGAGAAACCAAACAUCCUUUUAUUUGGUUCCUUAGAAAAAUGUGGAUUUUUUUUUUUUGAGAAAAAAGUUUUUCAUGAAAGAUCAUUUUUCCAGUUUUUCCUCCGUUUCGUGAUUUUGUUUUCGUAACAAAAAAUUUAAAAAUAAAAAAAUGUUAGUUUUCCAUGAAAUAUGGGCAAAAAUAUUUACAGAAAGUCAUGGUGUUACGGAGAGAGCAAAAUGAUCAAAUUAUCCUUAUUUGAUAAAAAAAUAAUUUUUUAAUUUAUUUCUAUAAUUUUUAAGAGUAUUUUUGCUAUAAAAUAUAAUAUAAGAGUAUUUUUUAAUUUUUAAAAAAUAAGAGAGAAACGUGAAAAAAUAUGUAUUUACAUAUAAUGAUUUGGCAAAAUUACAGAAAACUCUCUUACCAAUACUUGAUUUUUCACUUUGCCCCUCCUGUCAUUUAAAACUCUACACUUUGUCCGCUUGAAAAAUAAGAAAUGUGCACUUUGGCCCCAGCCGUUAGUAUUUCGUUAGAAUUUCUUUUAUAUUAUAUUAUUAUAUAUUUUUUAUACCCAAAAUACCCUCAGUCUCCUCCCCUCAACAUUGCCGCCUCCUUCCUCGCCGCCCACGCCGUCUCACCCUACUCUGCCACCUCGCCCUCCUCUGCCGCCUUGCCCUCGCCCACCCUUCCAUCCGCGCUCACGCACACGCUCUCAUGCUCCUUCGUCGUCUCGCCCUUGCCCCCGCCCUCGCCCUCGCCCACAUUUUCGUCCAUACUCACCCCGAUCUAUUCUCUACUGCCGCUGAAAUGGAGGGCGACGAGGGUGCAAGAGGAGCGAGGGGGAGCAGGUCGAGGAAAUGGAGUCGAAGCUGCGGUGGAGCUAGGCGCAAAGAACGAAACAGGAGAGACGACGGCUGAGCAAAAGUGGGGACAAGACGAAGAUAAAGAAGGACAAUUUGGUUAUUUUUAUCAUCACAUAUUUUUCAAGGGGGGAAAGUAUAAGUUUUUAAAUGAUAAUUGAUAAGUAUUAAGUUUUUAAAUGACAGAAAAAAAUGACAAAAUAAGUAUUGAAAGAAAUUUUUUUUAUAAUUUAGCCUAAAGAUUUUCUAUAUUUUAGUUAUAAAAUUUUUAUAAAAAAUAAUAUUUUAAUAAUUUUUUAUAGAAAGUGAUGGAUAAAGAAAGUUGACUUUGCUCCUACACGAGACAAAAUCACAAAUGGAAAAAGCCUGUAAAAACCUAACUUCAUUUAGAAUUUUUUUUUUUUUUCACAUUUACGUCAAAAGAAACAAUAAAAAUAUCAUCGAAACUCCACUUCUCGCUCUUGAAUUACUCCAAUUUAAUAAACAUAUAUAUAGAGAGAGAGAAAGGGAGAGUUGAGCUAGAAUGUUAUCAGUAUCAAACCAGCUCCGUUACUAUCCAUUUAUUUUCCAUGAUGGAGCAUCCAAAUCGAUGAUCGGUAUAGUUGAACAUGAUCUAUACUACUUGAAGUAUCUAUUAACCAAAUUUCAAAUCUUGUCGACAUUAUUAGCCUGAUGAUCAAAGGAUUUCAAAUUUUAUAAUUUUAAUGGUCGAUAUCAGAUGUUUUCUCGUUUAACGGUAUAAAGAUAUCCAAAUUUAUUGAAUUUUGGUUAGAAAAUUCUUUAAACUAUUUAGAACAAGAUCUAUAUUCUUGAUCUUGAUUACAAGACUCCUAUCAUCAAGGAACUAGAACUUAAAUUUUCAAAAUAGGAAUUUUAAAUUUCUUAAAAGUUAAAGUUGACAAGUAAAACUGUACUAAAUGAAUGAUUCAUUUGCUACAACUUUUUUUAAUUUUAAAAUAAAGAUUCUUAAAAUAUAUGGGAUUUAGUAUAAAUUACAAUACUUAGCAACUGAAUUUGUGGGAUUCUAGCUUUUGCUUUGAUAUCAUAGUCUCAAAGUCAUGAUAUCUAUCAUAUCAUUGGAUUAAGAUAUAUAUAUCUCUCUCUCUCUCUCUCUCUCAACUCGACCUUACGAUAGUCAUCGUUUGCCCGAAGCAAUGGUGGGUAAACAAAAGCUACUACCUCGGAAAUUUAGCUGCUAGCCAUGACAACUUAUACUAAAUAUAGUGAAUUUCAUAGAUCUUUGAUUUAAAGUAAAAAAAAACCUAUAACAAGACACAGGAAGUUCAUUUUUAUUUUCAUUUACUGAUUUUUAUUUAUAAGAAAUUUUUCNCAACUCUUGUGACUAACAUUUUGAUCCCUGUUUCUCUGAAUAGAACUUUGGAAUUUACUAGUGUUUUUUUCCAAAAAUUUUGCCUACCCAUUUUGAUGGCAAUAAUAUAUAUAUAUAUAUAUAUAUAUAUAGUUAGGCUGAUAUACUAUCGGUAGCACGGAGGCCUCCGUGCUACCAAAUUAUUUUUAAUGAUGCAACUUCUAAAUUGACGAUCAGCUCCGUUAGACUUGAUCUACACUAUUGAAAAUAUUUGGAAGCUAAAUUUCAUAAUUUUUCGGCAUCAUUUACCUAUCAAACGAGUAGUCUAAAAAUGAACCGUUGAAAAUAAAAAUCUCAUAAAAAAUAAUGAUAAAAAACUUGAAUUUAAGAUCAGAGGUACUGAUCUUACUUUAAAUAGUGAAAAGAAUUUUCUAUAAAAAUUUUAUUAGAUUUGGAUUGUUUUACACCGUUAAAUUCACAAACGCGUCACAUCCACCAUUAAAAUUAUCAAUUUUGAGACCUUUUGAUCACUAGCCAAAUGAUGCCGAAAAAUUAUGAAAUUUAGUUUUCAAAUACUUUCAAUAGUAUAGAUCAAGCCUAACGGAGCCGAUCGUCAAUUUGGAAGCGGCAUCAUUGAAACAACUUGGUAGUAACGAAGGCCUCCGUGCUACCGAUAGUAUACCACCCUAACUCCUAUAUAUAGAGAGAGAGAGAGAGUGUGUGUGUGUGUGUGUGUGUGAGAGAGAGAGAGAGAGAGAGAAAGAGAGAGAGAAGAGCUACUAUACUAUCGGAAGUAUAAAGGUUUGAUGCUUCCGACUUUUUGACCCUUAAAUUAAGAAUUGUACGGUUGAAAUGAUUGCGGUCCCACUUAGAGUUGAGUAAUAUCCCUAGGAUUAAGUAGUCUUCACAGGGUAAUAGUAUUAAUCCAAAGGUUAGAAAUAAUGAAAAGGGUUGAUUUAAAGGCCAAAAAGUCAGCAACACCAGAUUCCCUAUAUUUCCGAUAACAUAGUAACUCUAUUCUCUCUCUCUCUCUGUCUUGACUGGAAAUGAAUAUUCUUCAAAAAGUGAUGAUACAAUUUUUAUAUUUGAGAUCUAGAAUCUAGAUUUUAUUUUAAAUAGUUUAAAGAAUUUUUUAACAAAAAUUUAGUUGAUUUGAACUCUUCUAUACUGUUAAACGAGCAAACGCACCAUAUCAGCUAUUAAAAUUAUAGAUUUUGUGACCCUUUGAUCGUUCAGUUAGUGAUGCCAAAAAAUCAUGAAAUUUGACUUCUAGAUAAUUUAAAUGGUCUAAAUCAUGUUCAACGGUGCCAAUCGUUGAUUUGGAAACUCUAUCAUCAAAAACAAAUCGGUAGUAAACUGAGCAGUUUACUACCGAUAGUAGCCCAGUCAAACUCUAUAUAUAUAUAUAGAGUCCAGCUGCUAUACUAUCGGUAGCACGGGGCCUCCCGUGCUACCAAGUUGUUUUCGAUGAUGCGGCUUCCAAAUCGACGAUCGGCUCCGUUAGACUUGAUCUACACUAUUAAAAGUAUUUGGAAACUAAAUUUCAUAAUUUUUCGGCAUCAUUUGACUAGUGAUCAAAAGAUCUCAAAAUUGACAAUUUUAAUGGCCGAUGUGGUGUGUUUGNGGUAACUUUCUCUUAGUCUCAUUUUUAAUCCUUUUUUUCCUAUUUUACUCUACAUUAUGAUUAUGAUCAUUUACGAAAGCUUUCUACGCCGCCUAUGAACUACUUCGAAUCUUGCUGCCUUUUUGCAAAAUUAGAAUCUAAUCAUAAUAGGCCUGGCUUCUGGAACGGCUUCUCUAAUCUGCGAAGCUACAUCGAGAUUGAUGUUUCGCUUCUGCUGUGUCGAAAAGCUGAAAUGACUUUCUGAGUCCCUACCAUGGAAGCCGCCGUAAGAAGUUGUUUGCGCUCUUACUUUUGCAGAAACUUCGGCUAUGCCACACAAUGCCCCCUAAAAAGUUAAUGCGGCAUAACACUUUUGCAUCCCCAGGAGCCGACUUCGAAGCUCAAUUGCUGCUCUAAUCAUUUGUUCUCGUUCUUGUUCUUAAAAUCUCGACCAGGUUCAGAAGCACGUUCAGAUUCGAAUGGAAGCGUACAAGAAGUACAUCGACUCCUUACUCGACAAGGCGUACAAGAUCGCGUCGGAGCAAAUCGCAAUGAGCAGUCUCAACAACUCGACCGAGCACGACUUACACGAUCUGGCGACCAGAGGGGUCAUGUGCGCCCCCUCCGACCCCCUGAGCCCCUCGAUCUUCCACCAACUAUCCGUCGGCUCGAUCAGUUUACACAGUCCGGGGGGCAGAACCGCCCCGACUUCGGCGAUCGACGGCCAAUUCUUCUUUCAAAAACCGCCGGAACUAAAGCGCAAAUCAUACUAAACCAAAAAAGGAAAAAAAAAAAAGAAAAAGAAAAAUGCAAAGAUGGAAAUGGAAAGAUCUUCUAUUGUAGUGCAGUAGUGUUCUUAGUGGCCUUGUCCUUUUAGUUCUUUGUAAGAUAUUUCGCGGAACAAGGUUUAUUUUCCUUUAUAUUUCUUAUUAAAUUUAAAAACUUUGAUCUUUAAUAUUAUUAUUAUGUGACACUACUACACUGAUCAGGCUCUCUGUUGUAUGAACUUUUAUUAUUAUUGCAAUGCAAUUAUUAGAUAGUGAGCAUUACUUGGUUAUUUAAUUUCCUUGGAAAUUUUGCAAAAUGCGUUGGAUGAUUAUAUGAUCUUUCUCUUUUUUUAUAGGCUAAAUUACAUAAAAUCUCGUGUCAAAACCUAAUUUUUCACUUUCUCUCUCUGUCAUUUAUAAAUCUACACUUUGUUUCCUUGUAAAAUGAAAAAUGGUCACAGGGGUAUGAUGUAAACUGUGAUAACAAAAUGACCAUUUUGUCCUUUACCAUUUUUGGCAACAGGAGAAAAGGUUGAGGACAUUUUUGGCACUGAAAAAAUAUAUAAUAAUAUUUUAUUAACGGAAUCCUAAUGAAUCACUAACGGCAGGGGUGAAGUGAAUAUUUUUCAUUUUACAAGGAAGUAAAGUGUAAGUUUUUAUAUGUCAUGGAGGGAAAGUGAAAAAUCGGAUUUUGACCGGAGAAUUUUCUGUAACUUAGCUUUUUUUAUAUUGCAAUUUGAUCUACGUGUACUUCUCCAUAUUGUGUGUGUGUGAAAUUGUUUUUUUGGAAAAUAACUCUGAUAACAGUUUUUUUAGCUGGAAAAGUAUUUUUCUUUUUCAGAUUUCGUAGAAAAAUAGUAUUUUUGCUUUUCAUUUUUUUUAUUCAAUAAUUAAAAAUUGUAGAAAAGGAAGUUUUCCGGAAAAUAAUUUUCAUACUUUUUCGAGAAACCAAACAUCCUUUUAUCUGGUUCCUUAGAAAAAUGUGGAUUUUUUUUUUUUGAGAAAAAAGCUUUUCAUGAAAGAUCAUUUUUCCAGUUUUUCCUCCGUUUCGUGAUUUUGUUUUCGUAACAAAAAAUUUAAAAAUAAAAAAAUGUUAGUUUUCCAUGAAAUAUGGGCAAAAAUAUUUUCAGAAAGUCAUGGUGUUACGAAGAGAGCAAAAUGAUCAAAUUAUCCUUAUUUGAUAAAAAAAUAAUUUUUUAAUUUAUUUCUAUAAUUUUUAAGAGUAUUUUUGGUAUAAAAUAUAAUAAAGAUAGAAUAAUGAUGAAAAACUUUGACGGAGGAGAACUAAAUAUAUCGAUUUAAAUUUUCAAGGGGUAAAAUAUAGAUUUUUUUAAAAAAAUAAGAGAGAAACGUGAAAAAAAUAUGUAUUUAUGUAUAAUGAUUUGGCAAAAUUACAGAAAACUCUCUUACCAAUACUUGAUUUUUCACUUUGUCCCUUCUGUCAUUUAAAAAUCUACACUUUAUCUGCUUGAAAAAUAAGAAAUGUGCACUUUGGCCCCGGCCAUUACUAUUCCGUUAGAACUUUUUUUAUAUUCUAUUAUUAUAUAUUUUUUAUACCCAAAAUACCCUCAGUCUCCUUCCCUCAACAUUGCCGCCUCCUUCCUCGCCGCCCACGCAGCCUCACCCUACUCCGCCACCUCGCCCUCCUCUGCCACCUCGCCCUCACCCACCCUUCCAUCCGCACUCACACACACACCCUCUCAUGCUCCUUCGUCGUCUCGCCCUCGCCCUCGCCCAUAUUUCCAUCCAUACUCGCCCCGAUCUCCUUCCUACUGUCGCUGAAAUGGAGGUCGACUAGGGUGCAAGAGAAGCGGGGGAGCAGGUGGAGGAAAUGGAGUCGGAGCUGCGGUGGAGCGAGGCGCAAAGAACGAAAGAGGAGAGAUGACGGCUGAGCAAAAUUGGGGAGAAGACGAAGAUAGAGAAGGGCAAUUUUAUUAUUUUUAUCAUCACAUAUUUUUCAAGAAGUAAAGUAUAAGUUUUUAAAUGGCAGAAAAAAAAUGACAGAAUAAGUAUUGAAAGAAAUUUUUUUUAUAAUUUAGCCUAAAGAUUUUCUAUAUUUUAGUUAUAAAAUUUUUAUAAAAGAUAAUAUUUUAAUAAUUCUUUUAUAGAAAGUGAUGGAUAAAGAAAGUUGACUUUGCUCCUACACGAGACAAAAUCACAAAUGGAAAAAGCCUGUAAAAACCUAACUUCAUUUAGAUUUUUUUUUUGACUUUUUUGGCAAAUAGCCCCCUUACAAAUUUUUUUUUUAAAAUUGGCCCUGUCAAAAAUUUAUUUGCAAAAAUGGCCCUGGCCCCACCACGCAAGCGCCACGUCAGCGCCACGCGGGCGGGGCUGGGCCAGAUGGUUAAGUUGAACACGGUGAACCAUUCACCGUGUUCAAUACAAAGUUUUUGUAUUGGACACGGUGAAUGAUUCACCGUGUCCAAUACAAAAUAGCUAAGAUCGAAAUAUUUGUAUUGGACACGGUGAACCAUUCACCGUGUCCAACACGGUGAAUGGUUCACCGUGUACAAAUACCUCCAACUUAGCCAUUGUUGGGGUAUUUGUAUUGGACACGGUGAAUCAUUCACCGUGUCCAAUACAAAAAUCUUGUAUUGAACACGAUGAAUGGUUCACCGUGUUCAACUUAAAUAUUGCCCUGCCCGCGUGGCGCUGACGUGGCGCUGGCGUGGCAGGGGCAGGGCCAUUUUUGCAAAUAAUUUUUGGACGGGGCUAUUUUUGCAAAUAAAAUUUAUCAGCGGGCUAUUUGUAAAAAAAGCCCUUUUUUUUCACAUUUACGUCAAAAGAAACAAUAAAAAUAUCAUCGAAACUCCACUUCUCGCUCUUGAAUUACUCCAAUUUAAUAAACAUAUAUAUAGAGAGAGAGAAAGGGAGAGUUGAGCUGGAAUGUUAUCAGUAUCAAACCAACUCCAUUACUAUUCAUUUAUUUUCGAUGAUGGAGCAUCCAAAUCGAUGAUCGGAAUAGUUGAACAUGAUUUAUACUACUUGAAGUAUCUAUUAACCAAAUUUCAAAUCUUUUCGACAUUAUUAGCCUGAUGAUCAAGGAUUUGAAAUUUUAUAAUUUUAAUGGUCGAUAUAAGAUGUUUUCUCGUUUAACGGUAUAAAGAUAUCCAAAUUUAUUGAAUUUUGGUUAGAAAAUUCUUUAAACUAUUUAGAACAAGAUCUAUAUUCUUGAUCUUGAUUACAAGACUCCUAUCAUCACUUUUUAAAGAAUAUUUAUAUUUAGUCAUUUAUUUUUAUUUUCACUUGAAGGACAAAGAACAAUAUCCAAAAAAAUAUGAAAUUUAGUUUCUAGAUGCUUUAAGUGAUAUAAAUCAUAUUCAAUAGUACCGAUCGUCGAUUUAAAGGCUCCAUCAUCGAAAACAAAUGGGUGAUAACAAAGCUCGUUUGCUACUGAUAGCAUUCCAGCUCAACUCUCUCUCUCUCUCUCUAUAUAUAUAUAUAUAUAUAUAUAUAGAAUUAGGUUACUAUACUAUCUAUAGUACUGAAGCUCUGAUACUAUAGUUUCGUUUUCGAUCUUAGGGUGUUUAAGUCAACGAUUCAUAAUAUUAAAUAUGAUUUAGGGUAUAUAAAAUUCUUAGAAAUAAAAUUUUAAUUUUUUUCGACAUCGUUUACUUAGAAAGUAAAUCAUGUCAAAAUGAACAGUUGAAAUUAAAAAAUCUUUAAAUUUUAAGGAUAAAACUUUUAAAUUCAAGAUCAAGGAUGUUGAUCUUGAUCUAAAUAGCUUAAAAUAUUUUCUAUCAAAAUUUGAAUAAAUUUAAAUCCUUCUAUACCGUUAAACUACAAACUCACCAUACUAGCCAUUAAAAAUUGGCAAUUUUGAAAUGAUUUAAUCAUAAAGUAAAUUAUAUUGAAAAAAUCUAAAUUUUUAUUCCUAAAAACUUCAAAUACCCUAGAUCAGUUUUAAUUGUAUAGAUCAUUAAUUUGAACAUUUUAAGGUUCAAAAUGAGAUUAUAGUAUCGGAGCCCCGCUACUAUAAAUAGUAUAGGAGCCUCCCCCCCCCCUCUCUCUCCCUCUCUCUCUCUCUCUGUCUCUCUCUCUCUAUAUAUAUAUAUAGUUAGGCUGAUAUACUAUCGGUAGCACGGAGGCCUCCGUGCUACCAAAUUGUUUUUAAUGAUGCAACUUCUAAAUUGACGAUCGGCUCCGUUAGACUUGAUCUACACUAUUGAAAAUAUUUGGAAGCUAAAUUUCAUAAUUUUUCGGCAUCGUUUACCUAUCAAACGAGUAGUCUAAAAAUGAACCGUUGAAAAUAAAAAUAUCAUAAAAAAUAAUGAUAAAAAACUUGAAUUUAAAAUCAGAGGUACUAAUCUUACUUUAAAUAGUGAAAAGAAUUUUCUAUAGAAAUUUUAUCAGAUUUGGAUUGUUUUACACCGUUAAAUUCACAAACACGUCACAUCCACCAUUAAAAUUGUCAAUUUUGAGACCUUUUGAUCACUAGACAAAUGAUGCCGAAAUAUUAUGAAAUUUAGUUUUUAAAUACUUUCAAUAGUGCAGAUCAAGCCUAACGGAGCCGAUCGUCAAUUUGGAAGCGGCAUCAUUGAAACAUCUUGGUAGUAACGGAGGCCUCCGUGCUACCGAUAGUAUACCACCCUAACUCCUAUAUAUAGAGAGAGAGAGUGUGUGUGUGUGUGUGUGAGAGAGAGAGAGAGAGAAGAGCUACUAUGCUAUCGGAAGUAUAAAGGUUUGAUGCUUCCGACUUUUUGACCCUUAAAUUAAAAAUUGUACGGUUGGGAUAAUUGUUGUCCCCCCUUAGAGUUGAGUAAUACCCCUAGGAUUGAGUGGUCUUCACAGGGUAAUAGUAUUAAUCCAAAUGUUAGAAAUAAUGAAAAGGAUUGAUUUAAAGGCCAAAAAGUCAGCAGCACCAGAUUCUCUAUAUUUUCGAUAACAUAGUAACUCUAUUCUCUCUCUCUCUCUCUUGGCUAGAAAUGAAUAUGCUUCAAAAAAUGAUGAUACAAUUUUUAUAUUUGAGAUCUAAAGUCUAGAUUUUAUUUUAAAUAGUUUAAAAAAAUUUUAACAAAAAUUUAGUUGAUUUGAACUCUUCCAUACCGUUAAACGAGCAAACGCACCAUAUCAGCCAUUAAAAUUAUAGAUUUUGUGACCCUUUGAUCGUUCAGUUAGUGAUACCAAAAAAUCAUGAAAUUUGACUUCUAGAUAAUUUAAAUGGUCUAGAUAAUGUUCAACGGUGCCGAUCGUCGAUUUGGAAACUCUAUCAUAAAAAAUAAAUCGGUAGUAAACUGAGCAGUUUACUACCGAUAGUAGCCCAGUCAAACUCUCUCUCUCUCUCUCUCCCUAUAUAUAACUCGUGACUAGUAUUCAAAAUGUUCAAAUUUACUCUGAAAUUAUCAAUAUAUCCUUCUAAAAUUCAAUCCCAUUAGUAAACCCUAAAAAAAAUAAAAAUAUUUGAAGAAUUAUUUUUUAAAAUCAACUAGAGUAUUUUGGUCCUAUAUGGAUAAAANGAUCGAUGAUUCGAAAGUCGCAACAUCAAAAUGAGGUGGAAGCACGGAAGGCUCUGUGCUUCCGAUAGCAUAGUAGCCUCACUCUAUAUAUAUAUAUAUAUAUAUAUAUAUAUAUAUAUAUAUCAUAAGCUCAUGAUUUUCUUAGUACUUAGGAAGUGAACAUUUGGAUAGACUUUUGCUUAUUUACUCGUGACUAGUAUUCAAAAUGUUCAAAUUUACUCUGAAAUUAUCAAUAUAUUCUUCUAAAAUUUAAUCCCAUUAGUAAACCCUAAAAAAAUAUAUAUAUAUUUGAAGAAUUAUUUUUUAAAAUCGACGAGAGUAUUUUGGUCCUAUAUGGAUAAAAAAGAUAUUUGUAAAGUUUUAAAAGGUAUAUUAGAUAUUAUCCCUAUAUAAAAAAGGGGCUAAAAAUAGAAAAUUCCUCUCAUAAAGACCCACUUUUUCACUUUUCACUCAUGAUUUUCAAAAAUCUAUAUUUUACUUUGCCGAAAUUUCAAGUUUAGAAUUUCAUAAUUAUUUCGUUCAUUUUUUAUAAUUUAUAUCGAAAAUACUCUUAAAAAUAGCAUAAGUAUAUAUAUUCUAAGAAUAAUUUGGUCAUUUCGCACUCUCUAUUAAUGUCGUAACCUGCUGAAAAUAUUUCUAAAAUUUUAAGAAGAUAAAAUAUAAGAUUUUAAAAGUUAAGAAAGAAAACUAAAAAAAGGAUAUUUACAGGGACGUUUAUUGUAUUUAGCCUAUAAAGAAAUACAUUUUUUUUUAUCCAACGAUCGAUCCGACGGUCACGAUUCGCCGAUGGGUCAUGAUUAGCAUUUGAUGAUCCCUAUUUAACACAAAGUACAAUUUAGAAGCUUCAUGAAGAGCUCUACAAGACACAACAAAAAAGAUUCUAUCUACUCAACAAUAAAAAAAAAAAAAUUGUAAAUUCAAUUUCCCCCCCCUGAGGUUUAUCGUAUUUUUAACUACGGACGCAUAUAGAGGAGGAGCGGGAGGGACCCCACCUUCCACUCUAUUUUCUUAGCAUAUCAGGACGGAUUAAAUUUUAUCCUAAUUUUGGCUCCCUGCUUUGGGACAUAUCAGAACUAGAGCGGAUUUUUUAUAAAUCACGGCAGAUCGAAGUAAAAAAGGGAUUGCCCACCCAGCUAUCCCUUUCUUAGCGGAUCGGGGCGUAUCAUUUUUUUUUCUUAUUUUUAGCUCCAAUUUACCACUUCCAUUCGAAACAAAUUGGGACAAGAUCUCCACAAACCACCAGAUCCAUUUGCAACCCUAAUUUUAAUUUGGGGUAAUAUCUGAUAUGCCCUUCAAAAUUUCAAAAAUAUCUUACUUAUCCCUUCAACCAAAAUACUCUUAUUGAUUUUAAUUUUUUUUUUCAAAUAUUCCUAUUUUUUCUAGAAUUUACUAGUUUAAUUAGAUAUUAGAACGGUAUUUUGAUAAUUUCAGAAUAAAUUUAAAAAUUUAGAAUAGUAAAAAAGGGUAAAUAAGCACAAGAUCCAUUUUAACUUUAUCGACCUAUGAUUCAAAAAAUUAUGCGACUUUAUUAUCUGGUGUAAACUUUAAUUUGUUCUUCUAUAGGUUCUCCAUAUUAUUUUACGCCUUUGUAAAAUUAAGGGAGUAAACUACAAAUUGCAAUACACACAGGGGGUUAUUCGUAAGUAUCAUAAUAUUAAAUAAAAUAAAUAAUAAUUAGAAACCCUAUCUUAAUCUCAAUUAAUUAUUACUUAAUUAAUCCCUAAUCCCACCCAAUUAGAGCCCUAAACCAACUCACAAACGACAAAAAAAAAACCUCGUGUGAACGGGGUUUGCCACGUGGCACCUCGUGCACCGCAAAUGGAAUAUUCCUUGCAAGAUGCCGCACGAGUCGCCUCCGCAUGCGUCCAAACGAUUCGGAGGGACACGUGGCAUGAGAUGACGCGGCGUUCGACUCGUGUAUUUCAUUCCUCCCCAGUGUACCGGAUCCCAAAGUGUCCGCACCGGGGUUGUAGAGGAUCCGACCCGAAAGCAACCAACGCUCAAAAAUAAUUUUAAUUUUAUAAAGUUAAUAAUUUAUUAUUUCUUAGAAUAUGAUUGAAUUAAUGAUUAUUAUUAUUAAAUUUAUUUUUAAAAAAAUAUUAUUAUUUUGUCAAGUGGCCCAAGUCCCGACAAUAUAUUAUCUUUUUAAAAAAAUCAUAUCUGACUAACCGGUCGGAUCAUGAUAAUUAAAAAUCAAUCCGACAGCUGAUUCGUUCCAGUUUCUAACACCGUUUUGAACAAGAUUGUUCUAAACAAAAAAAAUUCUACUACUUAUUUACAAUUGUCUGAAUAAUUGAUAUGUUAUUAUUAUUAUAAAAGGAGGUGGCGUAUUUGACUCGCUCGUCGUCAUAGACACUCGAAGUUUCACCAAAGACGGAGACGAAGGUGGCCGAGGAGAAGAUCGAUAACUACUAGUCAAGGAUGCUUUCGAAAGCAUGUUUACGAGUAGGUCCGCGAGUGUGAGGGUGGUGUGGUGGCAGUAGUGAGAGAAAAAUAAAUCUCGCGGAUGACGUGAUGUUGUACUAUUUUACAAAAAAGUUGCAGUAUUUAAACUUAUACUGUAUUACAAGAAAGUUAUACUAUUUAUAAUUUAUUUUAUAUAUCAAAUAAUAUAAUUUUCUUGUUAAAUAGUGCCAGGCAACUUUUUUUAAUAAUGUAAUAUCACAUCGUCCGCCAGAUUUUUCUUUCCCAAAUCGUCACCAUCUGGCCGUUGCAGCCACACUCACGAAUUUGCUUUGGAAGCAUUCUCGAUCAAAAUCGUCGCCCUCCUCCUUCGCUACCUCCGUCUUCAUCUUCGGCCACUCUUUCAGUGGUCCCACUCUCGUCUCUAAUACUGCGAUCUCGUCGGAGAACGCCGAAAAUAGGAAUAGCAAUGAGCGAGUCAAGCUUCGUCGUCAUCCACUCGCUCAUUGGCGAGGUAUGGGAGGUGCGCGGCAGCAACGCAGAGAUGGUGAACGAGUGAAAGAAAGUGGAAAAAGAAAAUGAGCAAAAAACAAAAUAAAAAAAAUUUUGGUUAAUUUUUUAAAAAUUCAGCUUGAAUUUACAAAAAUAAAAAAAAGAUAAACCAUUUUUAGAGAAACUCAAAAUUAUUGAAUUUUUUUUAUAUAAAAUAGUCUUAUAUAUAUUAUAAAUAAUUUAAAUUUUUUAUUAUUAUUCUUGUAUUGGUGAAGAAUCAAAAAUUAAUUUUUUUCAGAAAAAUAAUUCGGAAAUUAAUUUUGCGGUCGCAUUUUUUGACCAAAGAUGACGUCACGCGAUCCCUGCCGACACGUGGCAGUUUGCUAUUCGUGCUCCUCGGAAAUCAUAAAUUUUGCCACGUGGAUUCCCUAUAACGACGCCAUUGGUUGAAACCGCUGUAGCGUGUUAUGUCACCGACACUGAUGAUUUGACCCCUUGGUGAAAAUGUAUUGAGACCCCCUAAACUAUAGGGUAUUUUAGAAAUAGUUCCUCGACUUUAAAUUUUUGGGGCAAUUUCUUAUAUAACUUGAAAAGUUUCCGACUUUUCGAUUUACCCCUCUUAGAAAGUUAAUAUUGAAAAUACCUCUCAUACGUUCCAACUUAUUUUUAAUAUACCCUUAGAGUUAAAAUCUGUUAAGUAAUACUGUUAUCUCUGUAAAAUUACUAUUUUGCCCUUUUCAAAUAUAUCCUUCCACCAUCAUUGUUUUUUUUAUUUACCCUUAAAGUCAGGGGCACAAAAAGUAUUUCAACUUUUUGUCUUUUCCAAUAUACCCCCCUCUACCGUAUCCAACCUUUCUUAUUUACCCUUAAGUUAAGGACAAAAUUGGCAUUUUAAUUUUUUUUAACUGUGAUAGAUAUUUAACUCACGUUUAACUCAGGUUAAUUUAACAGGAGAUAACUGCGGGUAUUUUGCAAUAACGAUGGAACAUAUGAGGGGUAUUUUAGAAAGAAAAAAAAAUAGGAGUAGAUCGGAUAUUUCCAGACCCAUGAGGGGUAUAUAGACAAUUAUUCCUAAAUUUUUAUANUCAACUUAGUUAAAUUAAAAAUUUUAAUAAAUUUUAGGUAAAAGUGUAUGGAGACCCUCUCAACUAACGGCUAUUUUGAAAUAGAGCCCUGAACAUACAUAUAUUUUUAUUUAGUCCUCCUCAAUUUAUUUAUGUAUCUAAGUUUUUAUUCUUAGUUAAGUAAAAAUUACAUCAAUUUGCUAAAUAUUAAUUAUCUAUUUUAUUAAAUUUGGCAUCAUUUUUAAAUUUUUUACUAUAAUCAAGGGUGUCAAUCAAACAAAUGUAAAGGUGGAGGGGCUAUUUCAAAAUGUCACAUAGUUGAGGGCAUAUCCACACAUCUCGCGCCUUAGCUUAUUAUAAAAGUUCUGAUUAAAUCAAUAAAAACGAAAUAAAUUUUAGGGGUGUAAUUCGUAAUUUGUGAUAGUUGAGGGGCUUCCAAUACAAUUUUACCUGCUCUUUGAAGGUAAAAAAGAACCCCAUUGGCUAAAUCCACGACGAAUCUCUCACCCUUAAGAAAAAGAGAAAAACCCUAGAAAAAUCAAAAAAAAUUUCCCAAAAAUUCGUCGAUUUGGGGGGAAAAGAUCCGAUCUUCACACUCGGAAGCUACCUGGAUCGGCUCCAAUUUGCUAAUUCUCGCUUCAAUUUUGGGUUCGAAGCACCUCCUCUUUGGUGUUCGUCGCUCCAAAUUCGUGCUUUGGAUCCUCUCGGUGCUGUUUUGGGGGGAUUUCGCUUUGUUUUUCGAUCUGGGUAUGUGUUGUUUUACUAAUUCGCUUUGUCGGUUGUGUGAAUUUGAUGGGGUUUAUUGUGAAUUUGGGUGAAUUUGGGCGUGUUUUGGGCAGGGUUUGGUACGGUGUUGUUAAAGGAAUUUAUUGAGGACUUAGGUUUUGUUUUGGCUUUUGAGAUGGAUUUUGAGGGUUCUGAAGGAACCCCAGAUGUUAUUAUGAUUCAUGAUCCAUUCUUUGCUAGAGUUAAUUGGUCAUAUUUUGCCCUAAAUUUCCUAUUUUGGGGGAUUUUUUGGGAGUUUGUGGUGUGAUGUGGUUAUGCCUAUGUAAGUACUGUGAUUUGGGCAAGUUGUAGCUUUCACUAGGCAUGUUUGUGAUUGCUUAUUAUAGAAAUUUUACUGAGAAGAUAUGCUGAUUAAAGGAUUGGGAGUUUUAUCACAAUUACCUUCCAUUUUGGAUUGCAAAGCCCUUAAAAUAAAUGCAGUGUUCUUCAAUGAAGUGCUUUUAGGACAUCUUCUCUCUGCAGUAAAAAAAAUAGAACUUCCAAAUCAUAGCUUCUGCUUUUGGGCCUCAAAAAUCAAAUUUCUACUUUCCACUAAAGCAAAAGCAGGAGACUUUUCUGAUUGCCAAAUGGUCUAUUAUAGUAGCUGCAACUGAAAGCAAAGCAGGGACAAGCAGGUCUAAGUAGUUAGAAUUUAUCCUUCAAGUUGAGAUUUUUUUUUUUUUUUUUUUGAGUUAGUAUUAUAGAAUAUAGAGUUUGAUUGGUUAUUACUUGUUAACGGAUGGUAGAACAUUAUUGGUUUGACGAAGAAUCUAUCCCAAAAUAGAGAUAAAUGGAAGAAUGAGAUUCGUAUUGUUGACUCAGAUAAUACUCGGAUCUGAAGGCCUAGUUGUCGCUUUAGAUUGAUGGCCAUCGUGGAGGAGCUUGGUUUUCUAACUUGGGUUCUUUUGUCGUCUCCCGGAUAAUCGUUAGUUUUUUUUUGUCUGUUUCGUGACUCCUGGACGUAUUAUAGAGGAGGAUGAUGUAUGUUCAGAGAUAAUAGAUAUUUUGGAGUCUGCUAAGUUAUGCGACGGCAAAGCAACUUGGAGACAUUGAUGAUCCGUUGAAAUACCUGGGAGUAUAGAAUUUCAUUUGCCAUUGAUAAGUGAACAAAAUAGGAGAUGACCCAGUAGGAUAUUUCUUUCUGUUUAGGGAUAUUACUUUUCAGGGGCAUAAUUUACUAUAUGUGAAUUUGAUGCGCACACUCUUUAGUUGAAUUGGAUAAUGGUAAAAUGCUCAAGUAUUUAGAAAGACGAGUAGAAUAUAUUCAAAUAUGAUAAAACUAUCAUUUUCUUAGUACGUAGUUCUAUUUAGCCUUAUAUGUUUUGAUUGUGUACUCUCUGGCCCUGUCGGCAUCCAGGAUUGGAUUGGAUAGGAUAAGAUGAGAGAGUGAUGCUGAGGAAAAGGAAGGAUACGGCGAGUUGUGGACCUUAGGGCUCAUGAUGGUGGGGGGUGUGUCCGGUGGAUCCAACGGGGUUUUUCGUUUAAUCCAAUCUAGUUCAACUGUAAUCGCUCAACUGGGAUUCGAUACCCCCGUUCGACCAGGAUUAUAUUACCCUACCGGAUUCAAUAAUCCUUCCUCUUGUGACCUGAUGUCUAUGAGCCCCAAAUCCUAUUUCUUUCAAUAUCGCUCUCUUGUCUUAUCCUAUGCAAUCCAAUUCUGGAUACCAAAGGGACCCUUUGAUUAUUUAGAGUUCAACUUUCAUCUUUUCUUGAACUGCGUAAAUAAGUUCUAGGUUAGGAAAUUUCUUGUUGGCGGUAUCUCUUCCGCUUUUCAUCAUAAUUAUGAUGUUUUCUUAGGAAGCAUCAAAAUUUUUAAACAUCAAGAUCCAAAAUGCUUGCCCAGGAAAAUCUUUUCUGGUCUUCAAUUGUUACGUAUUAUGCAUGGGCACCAAUGCAGCAGAUGAACAGGAUAUGACUUGUAUAUAGCGACGAAUCUUAGGGAAAGUGGGGAGAAUAUGGUAAAUGUUUGAGGAUGCGACAAUGAGACAUGUAAUUACAAACAAAUGCAUGCACUCCAUUUAGUAGAUUUUGAUAGACAUAGAGGUAGAAACUUACAGAAGCAGAAAGAGAUAGAGAUAAAGAUGUCGAAACUCGCACAUCACGCAUGCACGCGUGCAUGGGAAGGUUUAUAAAUAAACAAACGGAAGUCCUUGUAUAUAAAGAAGUCUAUCUUAGUGUGUUUUUCAAGAUGCAAAUUAUGACGACAUGCUCGUAGCUAGACUUCUCCGACUUGUUCACUAACAAAACUAGAUCUCCAUAAUAAAUUCUCUUCAAUUUGGAUUAUCUUGUUGGAAUAUCUCCCCUUGAUGGAAUCUCUCAUUGGCGGAGAGUAUGUUGAGUAUCCUUAAUAAUAACCAAGCAAUAGCUCCAUUUUAAGUUCUAUUAGGAAAAUCUGAUAUGUAGACGAAGUAUCAAAAUGUUGCCGAAAUGAGAGAAACCUUGAGUUUUGUAGUACCCAUGCAUCAUAAGUUGUUAUUGAGUAGUUCCGUUUACUCGUAAUGCUGCAUGUCUAGAACACGAAGGUUCUUUGUGUUCUAGAUAUGCGGCACAAUAAAAUGCUGCUGUGAGCUGUUUUAUCAAUGGAUUGCCAGUUUGGUAAUUGUGAUUGUUCACAUUUUAUAUUUACAAGGUUAGAUCGUGUAUUGCGUUGUCUGAAUUCUACAUUUUAUUCUCUCCAAAUUUCAUCAACACUAUGUGAUUCUUCACUAUUAAUAUGCCGUGUUAUCAGCUAAUGAGAAAUGUAUCAACCAAAACCUAUCGCUGGUAUGGGCCCAACUCACGGCAAUUCCAUUGCUCUUAAUAAGCAAGCGGAAUUAGCUCGCAAUGGUGUGGGCUCCCCCAAUGAUGCGAGUAAUAGCGCUAGUGCGGCUUCAAGACAGCGAUUACGGUGGACUAAUGAGCUUCACGAACGUUUCGUGGAUGCUGUGGCGCAACUUGGCGGACCUGAUAGUAAGUUCUUAUUGCCGCAUCUUGCUGAUCUAAAUCAUUCUUUUUCUUUUUCUUUUUCUUUAAUAAGAUUAUGUAAAGCAAUACAAGCAAUUUAAUUCAUAUUGUACUUAAUUACCUGGUCGCGCAAAUUUUAUGCUUCAUUGUCUAAUUUCGGUGUGAAAUUGUUUGAUAGAACAAUAUGAACUAAUUUAGCCUCAAAACUUCUACAAUGGAUACUCAAACUAAUUUAAGUAUUUAAAAGUGAAUUAGCAUUGUCAAGUUAAAAGCUAUUUCUGAAUUGUUUAAUGCGCUUAUAUAUAUAACAGGAGCCACUCCUAAAGGAGUUCUCAGAAUCAUGGGUGUACCGGGACUAACCAUAUACCAUGUCAAAAGUCACUUACAGGUACUCGGGUUUGACGUGCCUUUUCGUUCUCGCCGUCGUUUCACUAUGUUUUUACUUUACAUAAUAUCAUUUCCUCUUUUUCUUUUUCGCCAGAAAUAUCGGCUAGCGAAAUACAUCCCCGAACCUUCCUCAGAUGGUAGGUAUCGUAAAUUAUGUCGCUACAUGAAAAAUUCGUUUAUGCAUUGAAGGGGCAAAAUUAUACACAAGAAGAGAUGAUUUAAUCAGGUUUCCAUUUGUACAGGUUCCAAGCCUGAAAAGAAAGAUCCUGGCGAUCUUCUAUCGGGAAUCGAAAGCUCAUCGUAAGUAUUUGAUGCAUGUAAUGAACUUUUUUGGGUUUUUCCAACGGACAUAAUAUUUUACUCAUACGCAGUACGUGUGUGUGCCUUAUAUUGCGAGUAAUUGUUCGAUUCCCUUUUUUACAUGCUACGCUCGAGACUUGGACCUACACAUCCUAACGAUUGUAAUUUUGGGGGCUCUUUUAGCUCGAAGAUGAAACUAUACCGAGAAUUGAUAAUUUUUAGCUGUAGGAACGAGGAGUGAUGAUAGUUUACAGAGUAAAGAAUCGAAAUGAGUCGAAUCUUUCUUGGCGCAACCGUUAUUAAUUUUGCAAUCCUAAAUUGGUAAAUUCAAACUGUUUUACGGCGAUUACAAUUGCGACCGCUCAGAAUGCGAGACCAUACUAAUAAUUGCGUGAUGCGUCCCUUCAUCUCCUUUUUGUCAUUAUUACAAACCAAAAUUGAACGAAAAUCGCUCUCUUUUAAAGAAACAAGAUAAGAUGAAUUGUAUUCCUACGUAUUCGCACUCUUACUUUUUCCGAUAAUUCAUCAUUUUCUUUUCCGUGCCAGCGGAAUGCAGAUCACUGAGGCUCUAAAGCUGCAGAUGGAGGUCCAAAAGCGGCUUCACGAGCAAUUAGAGGCAAGUUAAAUUCUUGUUUGUCGCUCGCUAGAAUGCUUUUACGAGGUCAUACGAAAAGUCUGUGCGAAAAUGAUUCGUAUUCUAAAAAGCACGAGAAGUUUGUAAUGCAGGUGCAAAGGCAGCUGCAGCUGAGAAUCGAAGCCCAGGGAAAGUAUCUGAAGAAGAUAAUCGAAGAGCAGCAGCGUCUCAGCGGCGUGCUCGCCACCUCGGAGGCCGACAACCCCUCCGACCCUGACAAGACCGAGCCCUCCACCCCGGCCCCGACCUCCGAAACUCCGACGGCGGGAACGGCGCCAAGCGGCCAUUUCUUUUCCGCGGCCCACGAGCCGCCUCUGACCCCCGACUACCCUUCGAAGGAUAACAGCAACGACGAGAGGGCAAGCAAGCGGCCGCGAACGGGCGAGACGGCGGAUUUGGUUCUCGCACAUCAAAUAUUGGAAUCGAAUUGAAUACCCGGCGGCGGCGGGAAACUCAUUCGAAAAUAGCGCCAUUUGCACUUUGCACCCCCGAGAUGCGAAACUUUACACUUGACCCCCCUCGAUGUAGUAAAGAGGGUAAUUAUGUCGGCUUAGAAGCGAAGGACAAAUUCGCGGUUAAUUUUAUGGAAUUUUACGCGAUUUAACCUACUUUCGGAGAAUCGAUGUAUCAUAUCAACAUUCGCACUUAGUUGUUGUUUGUAGAGCAGGUGUUGUUGAGAUUGUUGUUGUAAAAUACUAUUUACAAAUGAAUACUAUGUGGAGACAAUCUCUUCUUCAGGAAUAAUUUACUGUUCCAUUUUGGUAAAUAGUGAAAUUUUUUUUUUUUUUUUUUUUUUUGUGUGUGUGAUCACAUUGUAAUGUGAAUGGAUAAUAAUUGAGGAAUAAAUAUUAUAAAUAUGGUAAUCUAUAUCUAUACUCUAUAUUAAAAGAGAGUUUCAUCACAUUAUGGAGUAAGUACGGGGACGACACGUGUCCUCUCGGUUCUCUCAUAUUUACUUCAAAAAAUUGCAUGCACCUGGUCUACAAUAAUAUAGCAUACACCAAAAAUUUUUUUUAAUUUGAAAUCAAAAUAUAAUUUAACAGAUCUAUAUACUUACUCUAUAUUAAAAGAGAGUUUCAUCACAUCAUAGAAUAUGGAGACGACACGUGUCCUCCCUAUUCUCUCCUAUUCACUUUAAAAUAUUGCAUGCACCUGGUCUACAAUAAUAUAGCAUACACCAAAAUUUUCUUUUUAAUUCGAAAUCAAAAUAUAAUUUAAUAGAAAUACUCUACACUAUGAAAAAGGGAUAAUCAGUCUAUGUAUAAAAUAUUAUAGAGUUUAAAUUUCGAAAAUCUAUCUAUAUUGAGAGUUUCAUUACAUCAUGGAAUAUGGAGACGACACGUGUCCUCUCUAUUCUCUCCUAUUCACUUUAAAAUAUUGCAUGCACCUGGUCUACAAUAAUAUAGCAUACACCAAAAUUUUCUUUUUAAUUUGAAAUCAAAAUAUAAUUUAACAGAUAUACUCUACACUAUAUAAAAGGGUUUAUUAUAGAGUUUAAAUUUCAAAAAUCUAUAUAACAAUAAUAAUAAUAAUAAUAAUCUUUUAACUAUAUAAUUUGACAGUUCUUCACGUGGCACCCCUACCCUUCCUCCAUUCCACGUGGUAGCUCCUCACUCUUUCCCUCUCCUCUCUGGUGGCCUUCUCUCUCUUCACCUCUCCCAACCCAACUCUCUCUCUCUCUCUCUCUCUCUCUCUCGGCUUUUUUUUUUAAUUAUAAUAUUUUAAAUAUAUAAUUUUUUAUAGGCGAAUUUUAAAAUCUAACCCAUAGAGUGGUUGAUAGUAAAAAUAAAAUUUUAAAAGGUUGAAUAGAUGAUUUAAAAUGCUUCAUCGUUUGGAAAAAUUUUUAUACAAUUUUAUUUUAAUUUUAAUAUCAAACUUUAAUAUUAUAUUACAAUAUGAUAAGUGAUCAUUUUUACAUCUAUAAUUUUUAAACUAUUCAAAAUAUGAUUGGUCGACACUUAAUUUUAACAAUUAUGCAUUAUAAAAUUUAUUAGAUAAUUUAAGAUAUCUAUUUUUCGAAUAAAAUGACUAAUUGAACAAAAUUGAUGGAUAUUCAUUUCUAUCUUCAUUUGGAAUAAUUAUAUUUUUGGUCUUCAAAUUAGUAAGAUUCGUAACAAUUGUUCCAAAUAUAUUUUUAAACAAAUAUUCUAAUCAAAUGGCUUACACUUUUGGUCUUCAAAUUAGUAAAGCUUAAUUUGGUACUGAGGCCCAUAUAAUUCUAUUAGAUAAAAUAGAGUUGAGAUAAAAGCAUUUAGGGAUUUGCUUUUACAUUCUCUUAUUGAAGCGUAGAAAAUAUAUUUAUGUAUAACGCAAUAUACGUACGGAAAUAAAUAAAGUAUUUUCCAAUCGUAGUUUUUCACCCUACGUCUCCCUACAAUCCCAAACAAAAUCUAAGACCAGUGACAAUUGUUCCAAAUAUUGUUUAAGCAAAUAUUGUGAUCAAAUUGCUUAAUUAAAUAUCAUUAAUAUGUAUAUAUCAUAUUAUGUAUUAAUUAUUUUAAUUAUUUAAUACUAAUAUUAUUGUCUAUUUACUUAUAUAUAGAGAGAGAGCGUUACUUUUUUUAUAAUGAAUGAAACUAAUUCUAUUAAGCGGCUAGAAUUAUAUAAGAUAUAGAACAUUCAAUAUUAGUAGUUGUGCCACAUUUUAGAAAGACUCAAUUAGAAUCCUGCACUUCUGUUUUAAUUACAUCGUACACCAACUCUAAAUUUGAUUGAAAUAUGAUUUAUCCGUUGCGAAGCGCGGGCCCUACACUAGUCUAUAUUAAAAGAGAGUUCUAUCACAUAAGGGAGUAUGGAGACGACACGUGUCCUCUCUAUUCUCUGCUAUUUACUUCAAAUAAUUGCAUGCACCUGGUCUACAAUAAUAUAGCAUACACCAAAAUUUUCUUUUUAAUUUGAAAUCAAAAUAUAAUUUAACAGAUAUGCUCUACACUAUGCAAAAGGAAUAAUUAGUCUAUGUAUAAAAUAUUAUAGAUUCAACUCCCAACACAUUCCUCAUCUAUAAACAAAUUACCUACGCUCGAUCUAUACCUAUUACUAUAAUUUUAAAUAAUUAAAAAAUUAUCAGGGUUUAAUUUUUUAUAUUAGAUUUUUAAAAAUAAAGUGCACAAAAUUUACUUAUAUACCCGGUGCACCAAAUAGUAUAUUAUGAUUUUUUUUUUAAUUAAGACACGCUCAAGUUCACAUUUCUUUCUUAUUUUAAUUUGUAUAUUUAGUUAAAUUAAAAUGACCAAAGAUAAUUAAAAUUAUUAAAUCUGCCGAACCUACUAAUGAAUUUAAUAAAUUUAUAAAUUUUUUGAUAAAAUUACCUUAGUCAAAAAAUUAAAAGUUUAAGAAGUCUAUAUACAUUUUCACCAUAAAAAACUUUGGUAAAAAAAAUGCAAAGACUCCCUCAACUAUUAAACGCUUUGAAAUAGAUAACCGAAAGUUAUUUUUUUAACUGAUUUUUUUUUUAUAAUUUUUAAUUUUUUAUGAUUAAAUUUAGUUAAUUAAAUAAAAUAUUUGUUCAAAUUUAUAAAAAUUAAAAUAUUUAAGCUGGUUGAAACUUUAUAUAUUCACCUCACAAGUUAUUUGAUAGUAAAAAAAAAAAAAAAAGUUCGUCUCAGUUAAGACACGUAUGAUAUUUUUAUAUAAGUUUAUUUUUAUUUUUUCUAAGAGCGCAUCGACACUGAAUAUUGCGAUUUGCUCCCUUUACUUUCUAAUAAAUACUUUAGUUCUUAACUUUCAAAUAUAUACAAUACUUUUUUUGUCUCAAACUACCUAACAAAAAAAAAAAAGAAAAAAAUUACAAAAAGAGAAAAGAAGCUGCAUUCUUGUUUUUUUUUUUUCCCAAAAAAAGUGCUUUUUAGAAACCAUCAAUUUAUUUCUUUUUUUUUUUUUUUUUUGAUAUUUCAUAGUAACCAAUGGCACAUCUAAUUUUGCGAGAAAUGGCAGCGAAGCAGCGCACUAAAAGUUCUCAACAGCACGAUAUCAUAUCACAGGGACCAAGUCGCAAAUAAUCCAGAUACUUAUAUCUCAAUUUCAUAUUAUAACUGGGACUUAGAAAAUUCCUCCACAUCCCACACUACCCCCGCCGCCGCCGUGCGCCGGAGACAGGUCGCCGGAGAAGGUGCUCUUCUCCUCUCAUCUCUCCUCCUCCUAUUCUAUCACACACAACGCGUCGCAGCCGCGACAGCACGCGGCAGCAGCCACUAUGCAUGUUCUUUUAAUCUCUCAAUUGUAGGGUUGUCGAAUCCCUGUGGUUUGAUCUCAUUCAAAAGAGUAAUUUUGGUGUAAUAUUUGGCGGAAACACCUUUUUCUAUAAUGUAGUUGCGAAAUCGAUCAAAAGUAUAUUAUUUUGGUACUGUGUUCUCCAUUGGUUUGGUGUCAAAUUUUUCCGAGCCCAGGUUUGUAGGUUCGUAUUGCCGAUUGUGGUUUUGAUCAUCAUUUAUAGAGUAGCUAUUUGGAUGUAAUUUUUUGGCGGAGACAAUGGGGGNNNNNNNNNNNNNNNNNNNNNNNNNGACGUUUAUGUUAUAUAAUAUCAUGCCCAAAUAAUUUUUAUAAGGUUUCCAAUUAUUACUAUUGGAAAGAGGAAAAGAGAAUUAGUUUGAGGGUAUUCUAGAAACUAUCUUACGUUUUUUUUUUUUUUCUUUUUUCUUUUUUUUUUUUUCUCGUAUUUUAAGAGUAAGAGUUUGAGAUGUAACAAAAUAAGUAUUUACUGUUGUUAAGUAGAUUUGAUUUAGUACUAUAAAAAAAAACUAAAAAGGGUUUAAACUAUGGUUUGGUUGCCUCAUUAUUCAUGGUUUUAAUGUUGAAAACUAGCUAAAGUGUUAAUUUAGUAUUCUUUUCCAAGCAGAAAAAGCGUUUUUUAAUGUGGUUUAAUGAGAAAUACUUACUCUAAUUUUGGUGUUAGCCUAAUCUUUGGGAUGUUAAACCCCUUCUUAAAACUAUGGAUUGGUUACCUCGUUGUUCAUGGUUUUAUUGUUGAAAACUAGCUAAAGUGUUGAUUAAAAAUAUUCUUUUCCAAGCAAAUAGAGAUUAUUAAUGUGGUUUAAUGAGAAAUAUUUACUCUAGUUUUGGUGUUAGCCUAUGCUUUGGGAUGUUGGACCCCCUUUUUAAGCUGUGGUUUGGUUACCUCGUUUGUUCAUGGUUUUAUUAUUGAAAACUAGUUAAAGUGUUGAUUUAAUAUUCUUUUCCAAGCAAAGAGGUGGUUUUUAAUGUGGUUUAAUGAGAAGUAUUUACUCUAGUUUUGGUGUUCGCCUAUGCUUUUGGGAUGUUGGACCUCUUUUUUUGUCUGUGGUUUGGUUACACUCGUUGUUCAUGGACUUUUAUUCUUGCACACUCGCUCUUUCUUUGUUUUACUCUCUCUCUCUUCCUCUUGAAGAGGCGGUUUUUAAUGUGGUUUAAUGAGAAACACUUACUCUAGUUUUGGUGUUAGCCUAUGCUUUGGGAUGUUGGUCCCCUUUUUUAAGCUGUGGUUUGGUUACCUCGUUGUUCAUGGUUUUAUUAUUGAAAACCAGCUAAAGUGUUGAUUUAAUAUUCUUUUCCAAGCAAAGAGGUGGUUUUUAAUGUGGUUUAAUGAGAAAUAUUUACUCUAGUUUUGGUGUUAGCCUAUGCUUUGGGAUGUUGGACCCCCUUUUUAAACUGUGGUUUGGUUACCUCGUUGUUCAUGGUUUUAUUAUUGAAAACUAGCUAAAGUGUUGAUUGAAUAUUCUUUUCCAAGCAAAAAGGCGGUUUUUAAUGUGGUUUAAUGAGAAACACUUACUCUAGUUUUGGUGUUAGCCUAUGUUUUGGGAUGUUGGUCCCCUUUUUUAAGCUGUGGUUUGGUUACCUCGUUGUUCAUGGUUUUAUUAUUGAAAACUAGCUAAAGCGUUGAUUUAAUAUUCUUUUCCAAGCGAAGAGGCGGUUUUUAAUGUGGUUUAAUGAGAAGCACUUACUCUAGUUUUGGUGUUCGCCUAAGCUUUUGGGAUGUUGAACCUCUAUUUGUGUCUAUGACGUAUCACACACACGCGCACGGACGCGCACGCGCGCACACACACUCUUUCUUUCUCUCACUCUCUCUCUCUUCCUCUUUCGUGGAAGAGGCCGUUUACUACCUUGUGGUUCGAAGUGUAGCACUUCACCUUGCUAUAUUUUAUGUUUAAUUUUUUAAUUAAAGGCCUGCCACUAAUAGGGAUCGCAAAAUGCUUCUUUAUAUAAACCAUACGCCGGCAAAAUACUUCAUUAUAUUUUGCUACCCUUUUAACGGAUGGUCAUCUCGACGGACGGCCAUCUCGGAAAACUAAAACAGAAAGCACAGAGGCAAAUCGCUACAUUUUGAACCAUAUGGGAGUAAAUUGAAAAUGCACUAUACGACGACCGGGGAUGACUUUUUGAAGUUUUCCCUUUUUCUUUUCCGCAAUUGUCUAUUAAGAAGAUAUGCCUAAUGGACUCGGGCUUCAUUUGGGAUUGCAAACAUGUUGCGUUACAUACGGUGAGAAAACAUGACUGAAAAAUAUUCUGUUUGUUUCCAUAAGUAACAUCAUGUUGUGAAUGUCGCAAUGCGUUGGUUAAAAUAGAAUUUCUACAGUCCCACUAGAUAAUGGAGAAGUAUAUCUCUAUAUGCUUUCGUCCCAACUGCUUUACCUCCCAAUGGCGACAGGCGCCCUCAAUGCGAAACGGGCUCUUAGGGUGGAGGGUUGCUUAGCAUAACUUGAUUCAUCAAGUGAUUGAGCAUGAGUAGCUUUGUGCGCAAAGCAAAUUGAAAUUCAUUUUAUGCAAAGAGGCCAAAACCCAAAACAUUGUAGAUUUUGUUUACGUCAUUGAACUUGUUUGCUUGCUUUGUCUUUUUGAUCUAAGAACUCCUCUUUGAUGUUCGUUAAAAUUCGCGCUAACAUAUUCCUUUACUCCCCUUCCAUCUUUGUAAAUUUCGACAAUGUUUUCUACAUUUAUGCAAAAGCAUUUCGCUCUUCACUCCAAUUUUCGAAUAAUAUGCAGCAAAGAUCAAACUACAAGCAGAUGUAAUUUGUAAGCUGGAAAGUUAGCGGCAUAUGGAGGCUCUUCCUAAUAAGAGUUAGUUCCUCUCCGUCGUCAAUCGCUAUUUAUUUUUCUCCAUGUUUAUUUCUCUUUGUUAAAGUAAUGGACUAAUCCUUUUAUUCCAGGUGUUUACUUUAGCCUUCUAGAGAUCAAGAGGCCUAAUACUUCUCGACUCGUGAAGGUUUUUGCUUCCUUUCCUUGUCUUUACAUACCCUACUAUUAUCCAUUCUAUAAUUUUACAUAUUUGUUCAAUAUUUUUUUCAAUUGUUACAGUACCUAAUUCUUAUUUGGACCGUUAUUACUCCUAAAAUUCUUUUCUAUGUCAAGUUUGUAACCUAAAUUGAAUUAUUACAGUGUCUAUUUCUUGUUAUGACCAUUUAUUGGAUAUAAAUAUUAAAAGCACCGUUUUCUGGUAGCUUAAGCUUUUAGGAAAAAACGGUUGUUUUAUAUAAUUUACUAUAGUAUUAGAGCAAGAGGUCCUGAGUUCGAGUCCCGCUAGGCUCCUAGCGUUAUUUAAUUUCCUCAAAUUUAAUUAAGUUCACGACUUAGGCUUAUCAAAAAGUUACGAGUCCGUUCUCCGGUAGCUUAAACUUUUCAAGAAAAAACGGUUGUUUCAUAUAAUUAACACCUCGUUAUUCUUUUUUUUUUUUUUUCCAUAUGUUGUUGUUGUUGUCGUUGUGUCUUUAAUCUUGUUAACAUAAUUGUGAUUACUUCGUCUCGAGCUUCUCAAGUCUCAGGAUAAUAAUUCUUUUUUAAUUCUGAAAAAUACAAUUGGCUCAAUUGGGUUUAUGUUUUCCUUUACUAUCUUACCUUUCAUUUCAUUUUUCAUUUUUUUUUCCUUUUUUUCCAUUGAUUGCAGUUAGGAUGCCAACCUCUUCGACGCAAUGCGCGAGUAUCGUUGAGAACUUCUACUUGUGUUUGCGAAGACCCUUCUCAUUCUUCCACAAUCAUCAAGAAGUACGAUCGGCAUCCUCAAAAUGUUGAUCUCCCGCCGAUACUGCCGAAGAACAAAAAGAAGCCUUACGCCGUCCCGCUAAAGAAGAUGCAACGAGUGGCUCGGCAAGAUAAAAAGCUGGCGCAAAUGGGAAUGGAGAAGCCUCUCGAUCCCCCGAAGAACGGGUUAUUGGUUCCCGAGCUUAUUCCCGUGGCCUACGAGGUAUUGGAACAUUGGAAAGUGCUUAUAAGAGGCCUCUCGCAGCUUCUACAUGUCGUUACGGUUUACGGUUGCAGGUAAUUUCAAGUAUCUUGCAAUUAUUUUCUUGCUUAUUCCAGAAUUCUUUUUGAAUGACCUUUUUAAAUCUCAAUAAAAGUGUUUAAUUUAGUUGAUUCGAGCCGAUUAGUGACUCUUUAACUUUAAAAUUUGAAUGUGUCAUUUAUCUUUAUUUGUUUAGUUAGCAUAUUCUAUGCAAUUUACGUAAUUAGAAAUUCAUUAAAGUAAGUAUUUAGCUUAAAUUUUGUAUCAGAAGAGCCAUAAAAUCAUGUAACUCAAACAAAUUGAAAGGUUGGGUAGUCGAAUCAGAAUUUCGUUUCCAAUUUGCUGGUUUACUGUUAUUUACUAGCGAGAUUAAAUCGGCAGUUGAUAUUUUACAGCAAAUGCCCUGAAAUCCAUGUCGGCCCCGUCGGCCACAACAUCCAGGAUUGCAGCGGGACGGGAAGCGAGCGGCGCCGGAGCCACCACUCUUGGGUCAAAGGCUCUAUCAACGACGUCCUCGUCCCGAUCGAAUCGUACCACCUCUUCGAUCCGUUCGGCCGGCGGAUCAAGCACGAGACGCGGUUCGACUACGACCGCAUCCCCGCGGUCGUGGAGCUGUGCAUCCAAGCCGGCAUCGACAUACCGGAGUACCCCUCGCGGCGACGAACCACCCCCGUCCGCAUGCUCGGGAAGAAGGUGAUCGACCACGGGGGGUUCGUAGAGGAGCCCAAGCCCUACCGUGCGGAAGACUGUAUAUCCUUGCUCGCGGAGCUCGACACGUACGAAACACUGAAAGCUCAGUCGCCGGUGCCGUCGGAUACCAGACGGUUGGCGGAAAGAACGCUGAAGGCUUACAGCAGUGUGAGAAGCGGCGUAAGACGGCUGAUGAGGAAGUACACGGUGAAGGCCUGCGGAUACUGCUCGGAGGUCCACGUCGGGCCGUGGGGCCACAACGCGAAGCUCUGUGGGGCGUUCAAGCACCAGUGGAGGGACGGCAAGCACGGGUGGCAGGACGCGACGAUCGACGAGGUGAUCCCCCCGAACUACGUGUGGCACCUCCGGGACCCCGACGGCCCCCCGCUCACGUCGGCCCUGAAGAGGUUCUACGGCAAGGCUCCGGCGGUCGUGGAGCUGUGCGUGCAGGCCGGGGCAGAAAUACCCGACAGCUACCGGCCUAUGAUGCGGCUGGAUAUCGUCGUGCCCGACACCGACGAAGCUCGCUUUGUCGCGUGACGCGAACAAGAACUGUAAUUCGGUGUGAUUCGGUGUAUUGAUUUUGGUGAUGAACUUGUCUCACAGAUCAUUUUAUCUUUCAAUCAACCUGUAUAAUGUAAGUUUACUGUUGUAGAUCCUACUUUUCUUCUAGCUAAUAAAUAUUCGAGUUUAUCUCUCUAAAAGCUCGAAGUUAUCAGAGAACGGUGUUUUUUAUAUUUUGUAUUCAAGCAAUAUACAUGAGUGAAAGAGGCUCCAAUUAAACCAGUUUAAUUGCACAAAAACAUACCAACUGCAUAAGGAAUAGAUGAUGUAUCUGACAUAAGCAGGAGCUGCUGAGUUGUUUCCAAUUCUCACAUUGUUUGAAAAUUACAACUUGAUUCGGCAUCGUCGACAUAACAAGUGAACUGAUGAUGUAAAAUUUCCGCGAAUCUUAUGGUUGUUAUUUUCGCGGAGAUGAGUUUGAAGUUCACAUCAUCGUAUUCUCGGUCUCGCGCAGAUUUGCGCAUAGAGGGAAGCCUCACUCUUCAUUCUUCUUCUUCUUCUUCUAAUUCUUCUUCUUCGACGUCGUCGAUCCCCACCCAACGUGUAAAUGCGAAGAGAAACUCCUUGAAGGUCACCAUUCCAUUCUUGUCCCAGUCCAUUUCUUCUGUUUAGACAAAUGAAAACAUGUAAGAAGGGAAAAAAAAACACUAAUAUUGAAUCACCUCCUACAAAAUGCCAAACAAUGCUAAAAUUCUAAAUAAAGAAUUUAAGUGUCGAUCGGCAUGGACGCGCACUAUGCUGUACUGUGCCGAUAAGAUAUCAGUACAAUACGGCUCCUUUGCCGAUGACACAGCUCAAAACCUUCUUUACUUUGAAACUAGUUAGAAGUUAUAUGAAUAAAGUGUACAUGAUUUGAUGAAAAUAAAUCUUGUCGGCACAGCAAGUUUUCGGCAUGAUUCCGUGCUAUGACAGUUAAAUACUUACUAUAAAUAAGUUUGUUAAUUUCAUACUCAAAAUUUCAAAAACAAUAAUCAUGUAAAAGAAAUGAUGAUGAUUAAUUAAGGUUGGCAAGAGGACAAGUCAAGGAUGCGAAGGGUCCGAUAAAGAGAACAGAUUGAGCUCAAAUGCCCAAAGAGUCCCUAGCCAUAUAUUGAAUUACACUAUUUCAUAGUCGUCGCAUAGGAUUAUUCAAGUGUUUAUUUCGUCUCACUUCUAGAAUAGCUGCUACAGUUGAGAAGUAGAAGAUAGAUUAGAUUUGAGAGCCAAAUCAGACAUCAUGACCCCCAAAAGCAGAAUCACGUCAUUUUUAAGCUUCUGAUUUUAAUCAGGAAACAUUGAUGAAAAAACUCUACUCGAACAGCACUUCUGCAAUAGCUCUAGCAGGGCUAAAUAGGCCCUGAGUUCACUACAUCCUUAUCCUAGUAGUGAGAAAGUCGAAACAUAAUGUAUGAGAAAUACGAGGAUGGAGGAAUAAGUAAUUGACCGAAUCUCUUCAUGGCUAUGCGUCCCGAAGAGCGCUCUCCGGCGGUAGUCUCGUUUAUCGCUUGAACCAUCUCGUUCUUACUGACGUAUCCGUCCUUAUUCUUGUCCAGGAACACAAACGCGUCGACCAGCGUCUGAAAAGUCGACUCGAGAUUCGGCAGUCCCAUCCGUGAUUUCUGGCGAAUUUCGGUCAUGGAACAACAAAGAAAAUUCUAUAAAUGGCAUACCAAAUUGCGAGAAACCUACAAUUUCUAUUUCAAUUUUCCAAAAUUUUGACAUCCCACAUAAUGUCAAGCCCAAAACUGGAUCUUCUGGGUACAAACUUAGUGUUUUUUUUUAAAAAAAAAUUGAGCACCCGCAGAUGAUAAUUUGUUAAAAUGAUAAACAAUAUAGCAAUUUUCAGAUGCAGAAGGAUACUGCUUGCUCCGCAGCUGGUUCGUUCAGGAGAUAAACGAGGCACAGAAGUACGAUGAAUUCGUUGAAUUUGAUCCCCAAAUUCUCAUCUAUAUCACACGCCUCAAAGAGAUCGCGAAUCUCCUCCUCUGUAAAUGAUAUUUUGAGCUUCUCGAAGCACCGUUUAAGCUCUUCGUGGUCUAUCGCACCAUUCGAAUCUUCGUCUGAAAGGUGCAACAAUAAAAACCAAAGGCAAAAAGGCUUAGCUCAAACAUGACAAAAUAACCAACCUAAAAAUAAUGUCGAAUUGUGUGUAUUUAGUAAUGUAUACAUGAGCCCUCGAGACGAACUUGCGUACUCCUUAUUUACGUGUUAAACUCAUUGUUUGAUUAAAUUUAACUAAACGAGAAACUGUUACAAAGCAUGUGGAUGCGAACUGUUUUCGCGCAUUCUUAAAGAUGUGUACUUUGCAUGGCCAAACCGAGAAUUAAGUUUAAAAAAUAUGAAGAAGUAUAGAACUUAACUUAAAGAGCACCUGCAUCCUCAAGUAAUAUACGGAAUCAAAAUUAAGUUGUCAAAGGAAAAGAUCAAGAAAAGGCAAUGUUCAGGAAACUGAACACAUGAUUCUGCUCAGAAGUAGUAAUAAUCAGCUCAGAACUGCAAAGAAUCACUCACCAAAUUGCUUAAAAAUAGUCUUGCAAUUCCGCAAGUUCUUGUCUAUUUUCGGGAACUUCAUUAUGAUGCUGUUGAAUGAUUUCAUGGAAGUCCCCUCCGCCGCUCUCUUCCGCAUAGCCUCGACCAUCUUGGCCUCGAGCUUCGAUUCAGGCGGGCCACGCCUGAACGAUUCGCUCCUCCCAACUACGCCACCCAUAGUAGUAGCGACAGCAAAAUGCGACUUACGCAACCCCUACCGAAUAUGUUUGUCUGAAACUUACAAAAGUUUCUGCUCAGAACUAUUAGAUUCUAGUUCGGAAAAUAAAGUAACAGGAUAAAAUGUCAAACUAGAAAACAUGUUGAGUUUCAAAUUUUGUUGUCCAUCAUCGACGAAACAAUAUGAUCAUGAAUCCUUUCUUAUAAACUUUAGACACGGAGCAAUGUACAAAGAAACAGUUAAUGUUAUCGCUCAUCAAUCAUGUCAAUAUCCGUAAACCAAAACUAAGGCAUUUGAGACGGUAAAUUUCCGAAAUGCGUAGUUAUCGACAACUAAGAUUUGGCCCCAAGAGUCAAAAAGAAAAAGAACAAAUGUUAACAAAAUCAAAGCAAGAAUAGAGGUAAUUACUCCAAGCAAGCUUUCGAUUUGUUUACUGACAACUAUAUCAGAAUAACUACAAUUAUCAGGCCAAAUUUCUCUCCGUCGCGUCUGGGGUCGAGAUGAAGUAAAUUGGAGGAAAUUAAAUGAAGCAAAUAAUCUCUCGGGAUUUGAACUCAGAACCUCUUGAUCUUAUACCAUGUUAAGUUAAUAUAAAACAGCUGCUGCUCUCCAAGAUCUUAAGCUAAUAAUUCUCAAAUUUGGUUCCUAAGUUCCAUCACAAGUGUCACCAAAUCAAUGCUUACAUGCAAAGAGGGUAUUGUAUUAUUUCCCAAAAUAACAGCCCAAAAAAAAAAAGCUAUUAAUUGUUCAAAAUCUACCAAUUAGGGGCUAAAUUAUUGAGGAACAUAUCAUUAAUUUGUUGCUGUGAUAGUUAGUAUGUGUAACUUAAUUAUUGCAAACAUCAAAGCAGGUUUAAUUCCAAAAAAAAAAAAAAAUCAUCUUCCACAAGCAAAAUAUAAGAGAAAAAGAUAAACUAGGGCCUCAUUUAGCAUUAUUGCUGUUUUUUUUUUAAAAAAAAAGAUAAAAUUUUCAUAAAAAAAGCGUAGGAUGGGAUUAGUCGAUUGCAAAAAAGAAAAAAAAAACAUUUUUUUUUGCUUCCAAUUUUGUUUAAAAUAAAAUUACCAUCAAAUUAAAUAAAAUUAGUGCUGGUUUUUUUUUUAAAAAAAAAACAACAAUACCAAAUGAUACAAUCAAAAUAAUUCCUAUUAUUAUUAUGUAAUUUUCACCACUGAGCUUCUACAUAGCAAGAAAUGCAACAAACGAUCCACCAUGAUCAAAACAAGAUGAAAAAUUCCACUAAGAACAAGCAAAUCGAAUAAAAAAAACACUAAAUAACGGGAUCAAAAACUGAGUAUCAAAUUGAAACUUACCUUUAUGGAAAAAGCAAAACAAUAUAUAUAUAUAUAUAUAUAUAUAUAUAUAUACAAAAAAACCAAUAGGAAUUAGAGAAUAGAGAUAAGGAGAUGUUGGGAUUGGUGAACUCGGUUUUCUCCAAGGAUUCUUGAAAAUGAGAGAGAGAGAGAGAGAGAGAGAGAGAGGAGGAGGAGGUGUUUCUUCUUUAACUUUUUUUUUAGGUAAAAAAUUUUGGGGACGAGAGAGAGGAUGAGGAUGAGAGAAUGAGACAGAGAGGAGGGUGUUGGGUGUUGGGUUGGUUGUUUUUUUUAGGGGGUUAAGUUACAUUAUUAUUAUUGGUCCCAACCUUUACACCAUUUCUCAAUUUGGUUUUCUAUUAUUUUUUUUUUUUUUGGGAAUUAAGGCUCUGAUAUCUUGAUUUUAUUGUGAUUAUAUUCCAACAGUUAAAAAAAGUGUUAAAAUUAAUGAAAUCGUCGCGUCAGCGCCAAGGAGGCGACGGGUCAGCGCUAGCUAAUUGUACAAUUUAGAUUUUAGUUUUACGUUAUAAAUUUAAAUCUUAAAUCUAAAUUAUAUUUCGAAUUACAUUAUAAAUUCAAAGCAAGAUUUUAAAUUCGAAUUCAAAUGUCGAUUUUGUAUUUAAUUUUAAAUUCAAUUUCGCAUUUUAAAUUCUAAUUCUAAGUUAAUUUCAAACUUUGAUUUGGAAUUUCAAAUUCAAAAUGUGAAUUUGAAUUCGAAGUUUAAAUUCAAAUUUAGAAUCGAGAUCAAAUCUUCUUUUUAAAUUUAAAUUUUGAAUUCAAAUUUAAAAUUUAAAUUCGAAUUCAAAUGUAGGAGACUAUUUUUUUUAGAGAUAAUUAUCUAUAUACUCCGGAAAUAUUUCUUUUUUGUUUCAAAUAUACCCUUCAUAUGUCCCUCUAAUGUUCAAAAAUGUUCCCACAGUUAUCACCCAUUAAAUUAUCUCGAAUUAAACGUGAGUUAAGAGCAUGUUUGAUUCACCUAUUUUAGGAUAUGGAAUUAGAAUAAAAUUCAUUGAUUCCGAUAAUUGUUGUUUGUUUUACAGGAAUUAGAUUUCAAUUCCUUUUUCACUUCGGAAUAAGAAUGAUCAAAUUCAUUUCAGCCCAAUCCGACUCUGAACUCCGAAUUGACUGAUUCCAAAGUAAAUUACCCAAAAUCCUCUCUCGUAAACAUCUCUUUCCUCUCCCUUUAUUUUCUUAAUCAAAACCCUCUCUCAAAAUCGUAGAGCCUCAUUUCGAUUUCCAUUCGAAUAAUAAACCAAAUAUUUUUGGAUGAUUCAUAAUUCCAUUUUUCAUUCCAAAGUAAUCCAAUUCAAUUUUCCAUUUCUACUCAAAUCAUGAACCAAACAUGUCUAAAUGUUUGCUAGAGUUUAAAAAAUCAAAAUAUCUCUUUUGCCAUUAAUUUAAGGAUAAAUAAGAAAAGUUGGUGAUGGUAGAAGGGUAUAUGUGAAAAGGGUAAAAAAGUAAUUUUACAGAGACAACGACUAUUGUAAAUAGUUUACCAGCAGAACUUAACUCUAGUGAUAUAUUUGAAAUAACUUGAAAUAUUUAAAAAAUAUUUUUAAUAUUAGCCUCAGAAUUUUUCAGAUAUAAACAAUUGCUCUUUUUUAUUAUAUUAUUAUUUUUUAAAUAUUAUUUUUUAAAAAGGGGUGGAGGGCAUUGUUUGUGGGUUGCCCAUCACGUGGGCUACUCAUGAGAGGAAAGAAAGUAGUGGAAGAAGAGGACUCUCCAUUAAAAAAAAAAAAGUUUGUAUCUAAAUUAAAAAUAGCCAAUUUAUAUAAAAAAUUCACUUAUUUUGGGCUUUUGUAAAAUUUGGUCAUCUUUUUCGAUUUUACAGAUUUGGGCCGAAUUUUCAGCAAACUGACCAAAAUACUCUUAUUAUUUUUUCUCUCUCCUUUUUUUUUUUCUCUCUCCGAAGAAGGCAGCGGAGGUGGAGGCGGAAACAGCUCGCCUCGCCUCCGCCCCGCAUGCCCUCGCCCUCGCCCUCGCCCUCGCCCUCGCCCAUGCACUCUUGCUCUCCUCUCCCCCGACCUUACUGAGGCCGCGCCGCCACCCUUCUUCUCCACUAGGGCACGACGACGUCGAGACGCAGGCUCUUCUCCUCCACCGCGUAUCGGAACGCCGAGACGUCGUCGGAGGCGGCGAGAUCGCCUCCCACGACGUCGCGCUUGUUGCGAUAGAAAGCAAGGGAGAGAUAGUGAUAAAAAAAAAAUUAUAGAAAAAAAAUAAGAAUAAUAAAAAAUAAAAAAAUUAUUUUUUUCUAUAGAAAAGAUCAAAAAAUAUAGGAGAAAAAAGAAGAUAAUGAAAUUGCACUCUUAAAAUAAGAUUACACUGUUUUAAAAAAAAUUUACACUAUUUUAAUAAAAAUUAUACUAUUUGAUAUAAAAAUUACACUCUUUUAAAAUAUAUUUUACACUCUUUAGAUCAAGGUUGCACCAUUUAUAAAAUUUUUGCACAAUUUCUUUUCUUUUCUUUUUUUUUUUCUCUUUCUCUUCUUUUUCUUCUUCUUCCUGCAGGAGAUGGACGCCUCCCAGUGCGGGCUCUAGACCUUCCUCGCCCCUACCCCCCCUCCCUCGGCGAGCACAUCCCCACCACCAAGCAACCCGCCGACCCCUCCCUCCUUCGCCUUCUCCUCUCCCAGGCCAAACCCUCAUCGUCGUCGUCAUCAUUGUCGGCGGCGAGGGUCGUAGCGGUGCGGCGGCUCCGGGCGCUGGCGUGGGAGUCGGAGAAGAACCGCGCGGCGAUGGUGAUGAGGGAGAUGAGGUUAGCGAUGGUGGAGAUCGCGUUCGAGGAAGGGGGGAUUCGGAUCUAGGGGUGGAGGCGAUGUGGGUGCUAGCGAUGGUGGGGGUAGGGGAGGAGGAGGCGGCGGCGGUGGCGGAGCCGGCGGAGUGGCUGCGGCGGCUGGGGAGUACGGUGGCGCGCACGCCGACGUUGGAGGCACGGGCCAGUGCCCCGGCGGUGGUGGAGGCGACGGCGGCAGUGGGGGCGCCGAGAGUGGUGNGGGGAAGAAGGAGGAGGAACUACAAAAGGAGGCGGUGAGGGGCAGGGCGGUGACCAAGCUCCUGCUCAUGGUGCAGGGUGGGUGCUGCUGCUGCAGGAACAAGAAAAAGAAGAGAAAGAGAAAAAAAAAAUAAUGCAAAAUUUUUCUAAAUAGUGUAAUAUUGGCCUAAAGAGUGUAAAAUCUAUUUCAAAAGAGUGUAAUUUCUAUAUCAACAUAGUGCAAUUUUCAUUAAAACAGUAUAAUCUUAUUUUAAGAGUGCAAUUUCAUCUUCUUUUUUCUCCUAUAUUUUUUGAUCUUUUCUGUAGAAAAAGAAUAAUUUUUUUAUUUUAUAUUAUUCUUAUUUUUUCUAUAAAUUUUUUUUUUAUCACCACCUCUCCCUUGCUUUCUAUCGCAACCACCGCAACGUCAUCGGAGGCGAUCUCGCCGCCUCCGACAACGUAUCGGCGUUUCGACACGCGAUGGAGCCUUAGUAGGGUCGGAGGCGAGAAGGGCGGGAAUGCACGGGCAAAGGCAAGGGCGUGCAGGGCAGAGGCGAGGCGGGUUGUUUCCGCCUCCGCCUUCGCUAUCUUCUUCUGAGAGAAAAAAAAAAAGAAAGAGAGAGAAAAAAAAAAGGAGAGAAAAAAAGUAAUAAGGGUAUUUUGGCUAGUUUGCUAAAAAUUCGGCCCAAAACUGCAAAAUCGAAAAAAGUGUCCCACUUUUGCAAAAGCCCAAAAUUAGUGGAUUUUUUAUGCAAAUUGGCCAUUAAAAAUUAAGUAUACAUGCAAAUACGUGUAACAAAUAUUUUAAUAACUAUCUUAAAUUAAUAUAAAUUUAUAUAUUAUAUUUAUUCAAAAAUUUAUAAUAUAAAAUUUAAAUUUUAAAAAAUAAAUUUAUUUAUUAUAUAAUAUUAGAAAAUAUUUGUCAUAUUUUAACUCAAAUUUAAAUAGUUGAUGCCAAUAAUAAUUAUAUAGUUUUUUUUAUUUUAUAAAAUUUAUAUAUAGUGUACAUAUAUAGAUAUAUAUUGAAUAUUUUUCAAUAUUUCCUAAUUCUGAUAAAUUUAAAAUUUAAAUAUAUAUUUUAAACUAAAAGAAUCAAAAUUAAAAAGUUAAUAUAACAACAAAAUAUUAGUUGAUAGAAUAGAGAAAAUAUAUAAAUAAAAGUUUGUUUCGUUAAGUUAUUUAUUUUGCAUACGAAAAAAAAAAAUUUUGAUAGAAAAUGUCUGUCAUAUUCUGACUCAAAUUUAAAUAGUCGUUGCUAGCAAUAAUUAUAUAGGAUUUUUUAUUUUAUAAAAUUUAUAUAUAGUGUAGAUAUAGAUAUAUAUAUAUAUAGAAUAUUUUUUUUAUAUUUCUUAAUUCUGAUAAAUUCAAAAUUUAAAUAUAUAUUUUAAACUAAAAGAAUCAAAAUUAAAAAGUUAAUAUAAUAAUAAAAUAUUAGUAGAUUGAAUAGAGAUAAAUAUAAAUAUUUAUCUUAACAAAUAUUGAAUGAUAAAACUAUUUAAUAAAAAAUAAAAUAUUAAUAGUUGGAGAAAAAAAAGGAACUAAAAAUUUAUUUCGUUACGUUAUUUAUUUUGCGUACCAAAAAAAAAAAAAAAUUGAAAUGGGUUUGUAAAGAGACAAAGGCAAGAGACCAGUGUGUACUUAUUUUUUUUAGUGUUACUAUCUAUAAUNAUCAAAAUUAAAAAGUUAAUAUAAUAAUAAAAUAUUAGUAGAUUGAAUAGAGAUAAAUAUAAAUAUUUAUCUUAACAAAUAUUGAAUGAUAAAACUAUUUAAUAAAAAAUAAAAUAUUAAUAGUUGGAGAAAAAAAAGGAACUAAAAAUUUAUUAUUAUAUUCUAUUUAUUGAUUUUUUUUAAAAUUAUUUGUACUUAUUUUUUUUAGUGUUACUAUCUAUAAUUUUUUAUAAAAUAAAUUCAACUAAAAAUAUAAAACAACUCAACUGUAAACUUAAAAAUAUUAACACAAAAAAUUAUUAAUUUUUUAGUGUUAAUAUUUGAAGAUAUUAGGACUUUUACGGAAAUAAUAUAUAUGAAAAUUAAACUUUGUAGGAUAUAUUUAUAAUUUACUAUAUUUGUAGGGACCUGUAUGCAAUUAAUUCUUUAUUUUUUAAUUUUUUUUGGGUAAACUUCAAAUAUCACUGCUGCUGUGGUUUCGUGCUUUCUCACUUUAGUACCAUGUGGUUUAAAAUAUAUCAAUUUAGUAUCCUGUGGUUUUCUUUUUCUCUUUUUGUCAGCUCCUCCAUUAACAUUUCGUUAAAUUAUAUACAAAAAACUUCAGAUACCACAUCUAGGUUUAUCGAAUAUUCACUUUAGUACCUUUUAGUUUUAACUUUAUCACUGAUUUAAUGAAAAAAAUUCGUGGAGGGGAUACCAGAAAGAGAAAAAUGAAACCACAAGGUACUAAGUUGAUUUUAAACCAAAUGGUACAAAAAUAAAAAAGUACGAAACCAUAGGAAUGGUAUUUGAAGUUUUUUCCUUUUUUGGGUUAAUUGCAUAUAGGUCUCCGCAAAUAUAGUGAAUUACAAAUAUAUUUCUAUAAAGUUCAACUUUCAUAAAUUAUUCCUGCAAAAGUCUUGAUGUUUUCAAAUAUGUCCAUGCCGGCCCGUUAAAAUACGUUAGAAAAGUUUAGUUAACCAUAGGUAAAAUAUUUUACCCUAGUUAAUUUUUGACAUUUUUACUCUUCUUAUAUUAUAUUAUUAUAAUUUUUGGAGGGACAUAUUUGUGAUGACAAAAUUGAAAAUUUAAGCAAUUUUUUAACGAUUCUCUAACAGUAAUAAAUAAGAGGGACAUAUCUGAAAAUAUUAUGACUUUCGCAGGAAUAACGUAUGAAAGUCGAAUUUUUUAGAAAUAUAUUUGUAAUUUACUAUGUUUGCGGGGACCUGUAUGUAAUUAAUCUUUUUUUUUUUAAUUUGUUUAGCAUGCCGAAGCCAAAGCCCAAGUGCGUUUUCGCGCCCAAAAAACCCCCCCCCCCCUCUCUCUCUCUCUCUCUCUCUCUCUCUCUCUCUCUCUCUCUCGAUUUCGAUCUCGAUCUCGAUCUCUUCCUCGUCGAAUCCAUCUCCGAUCCUUCGCCAUCUCAUCCGCACCUCCAUUUCUAGGGUUUAACGGACUCGUCCUUCGCUCUGUAGGGUUUCUCCGACCCCUUUUUCGGGUAAAAUUUGGCAACAUUUAGGGUUUCCGUUUCCUUUUCUCUAGCUGAUUAUGUAACCAUUUAUUGAUAGCAUUCCAUUUGUUGUUUCAUGAUGUUCUAUUUUAUUGUUUUUUCUUUUAAUUUUCCCUAAAUUGCAGUGAGAUAAUUUAUAGAUUUCGGUAAAAAUGUAUGGAGAUGAGAUGAUCCCCUUCAACUUUAAUUUUUCUUUUUUUAAAUUGAUGUGAUUUGAGUUUCGCUAGUUAAUAAAGUUAAAAUUUUUGAGAUUAAUUUAUUAGAAAGUAGUUUAACUAUUAAAUUUAAUGGAAUUAUCAAUCAAUUUCGUAAAACCCCCAAUUUAUUUGGCUAAAAUCACUCGAUUCCAAAAAAAAUUGAGAAUUGAGGGGGCUAUUUCAGAAUGGUCUAUAGUAGAGGAGGCCUCCAUGCAUUUUUACCUUAUAUUUCUUAGUUCAAACUGUUAAAUUUGAUGGCAUUAUUAAUCAAUUUGGUAAAAUUCCUGAUUUAUUGGAUAAAAUCACCCAAUUCAAAAAAAAAAAAAAAUUUCAAAAGUUGAGGGGCCUAUUUCAGAAUAGCUACAGUUGAGGGGCUCUCUAUACAUUUUUUACAUUCGAUUUAUAGUAGCUUCUACAAUGUUUAGUAGAAUCAUAUGUGGAUAAUGCCUGCACAUUGUCGACAUUAGCAAAGUUGGCCCCAUAGUUUAGCAUAUUUACGCUUCACUACCCUACAGUUCUCAUUUGUUACAUCUUCAAAAACAGCAUUAUGCGAUUCCUGCGGUCAUAUAGCUUCUUUUUGUGACUGUAAAGCAGCAGUAACAGUUACAACCUUGAUGCCAUUAGAUUAGAUUGGAUUGCCGAACUAGUUAUCCAUCAAUAAUUUGUAUGCUAUGCGGCCAAUUUUUUUUUUUUUUUUGAUUACAAUGUAGAGAUUGAUUUGAAUCACUUUACGGCCCGGUUUGGAUUGCCGAACGUUGAUUACCGUUGUAGAAUCCUAAUCAUACUCCUCAUCUACCAAACACUGUAUGCUUCUCGAGUACAGAAGAGGUGCUGAUCAAGCAAUUCAUGUGACCAAACAAGCCCUUAGUCUAUGUUAGCAACCUUACUCGAUUCUGAUGCUUUUUUGGUGAAGGAAACUCAGUCCCUUAUAACCCUUUUCAACGAAAAAGUCGCACAUAUUAUCGGGCAAGAUCAGCUUGUAAUUGUGUUUUACGAUGCCUUUGCCCUUCAGUUACCUUAUUUAGGGCCCACUUUAGCCGAAAUAUUUAUAUGCCUUUGAUACCUGUCGGCUGUUUCACCGAAAACGGCUGGACGCAGCUUGAUCUCGUCCCAUAUCAACAAUCGAUAUCUGAUAGGCCGAAUGCUUGCGUUUCGGCCACUACCUGAGGCUUUGAUACUAUUCUUUGAGGCCAGUCCGCUUCGAGUUCGAAAAAAAGAACCCGAUCAGGGGGUUCCCUCAUCAUUCCACACCUGAGAUGACAAAUCAGAGCAUGCCGCAUUUCAAGUCGCACUUUGUUUGCAAACCAAUACUUAACCUAGAAGAAUUAAGAUUUACUGUUAACAACAUCACAUGCUGAAGUGCCCGAGCAGUUGCUGCAAUGUUUGUGUAAAUUGCAAUAACAGCAGUCAUGUACUUCAAUUUGCUUGUCUACAUUAUACAAAAUUCAAUGCCUUUAACUAAAUAUCAUACUGCUUGGUUUUCUUUGUACUGAUUUUUACAAUUUUAUUCAUUAUUCCGGUAUAUUUAGAUGGCUUGCGUGUACUUCGACGCUUAAAUUGGUAAAUUAAUUGUAAAAUUGCAUCUCUGCUGCUCAUCUUUUGCGAUUUCUCAUGUUAUGAUUAUAAGAUUGAAUAAAUAUCAGAGAUGGAGAUGGAACUUCUUUUUCAAACUUUAACUGCAGUAGGAUUUGUUCCUAGUUCUUUUCCGACAAGACUUAACUCCUCUACUAUUCUACUUUUAUCUUGACAGGUUGGUAUCUUAGAAACAAUUGGACAGAAUAAAGAAAAAACAAAAAAAAGAGCCAUGCAGAUUAAGGUCAAGUGUAACUGCGGUGAGGGACAAUGCCCCGAAUGGGCAAUCGUCGAACUCCAGGGCAUCGUGGAAUCUCAGCCUUCCAUCGGGAAUCAGCUCCAAGGUCUCGAAAUCGGCCGGCUCUGCUGCUCUUCUUCCUCUUCCUCGCAGGUUUGUUUUUGUUUUUUUUUUUCUCUUCUCCUCGCAAAUUUCUUCUGAAAGCUUAACUAGCUGUUGAGUCGAGAUGUAUCACCUACUAAGUAUCUAGCCUUAUUUGUUUGAUUUAAGUUUCUCAAACGGUUAAUUGAACUGGCGACUUUUCAGGUGAGCUAUACUUUCACCGUGGGCUACCACGAACUAUCCGGUUCUAAAAUGGCCUUGAAGAAGCCGCUUUUGGUUCUAAAGAAGAAAAAAGCUGCGGACGGAGAUAAUUCGGUCCUCAAUUCCUCGGAGGUAGAAUUGCAAGUAAUCGGUGUUAUUCGCCACAAGAUCCUGUUCAAGAAUAGGCCCAAAGCCCUUAUAUCGAGUAUCGAUCGCACCCUCAUUUCUCCAUGUUUCUAUCUCUCUUCGGCUUUUGUCCAUACUAAAACUUAAUCUAGUCUCACAAUCAAGUCACCAAGUUAAAAUUUUCUUACUAAAUCUUCGUUUGCUUGCUUACUUUGCAGAGCCGCAAGUAAAGGAUAAGAAAAUUGCACAGUAAAUCCGAAAUGUUCUGCGAAAAGUUGGUGACUCAUCCUCGACGAUUGAUCUUUGAUAUAUUAAAGUUACUUUGGAACUUCUGUUAAAAAUCUUAGGAAGAUCUUUGCUAUGCCUUUUCUUGUGUUUUCGAUUAGUAUCUUGUGUUUAUUGAUUUCUAGGACUUUUCGAAUCAUGCAACUUAUAAAACCACUGCAAGUAAGGCGGAUAGAUAAGAUUGAGCAAUUACAUUUUUGUUCACAGCAGUUUUCGAUGAAUCACGUGAUCGACAUAUGCUCUUCUUCUUCAACUUUGGCUUGUUUUCGACGUAUUUUGACAUGAGUUCUAGUAAAAUGCUUCAAGCUUUGGCAUCUUGAAUCAGGUUUGCCUAAAAAUUUAUUUCUUUUCGUUUUUUUGUUCCGCGUUCUGAACUCUUCGCACAAGAUCUUCAGUUUCAGUUCAAUCUCUUUUAGAAAACAACAACUCUUGGGGUGAAACAUCAGUUUCUUGUUGAGCUAAUGUCAUGCAAUGUGGCAGGGGAUUUAUAUGAAUCACAGGAGUGUGUAGUCCCUCUACACCUUUGGCAUGAAAAAUACUUAGUAAGAGUAUUUGUAAUGUUUCAGUAGUUUCACAUUGGAUAGGAAAAUGAUUCUAACCGGAAUAUAUGAGAUUUCACACGCUAAUAAUAAUAAUCGGGUUUAAGAGUUUCGGGUAUGUGGUUUGGACUCAAUAAGUUAUUAUUGCUAGUGGAUUGAUGCCUUAUAAUUGGUAUUAGAGUCGAAUAUCAAUCAGAAGUGUGAGAGCUGGUUUGGUGGGAGCCAUUUCUUGAAUCCGUAGGUGCUAUCUCUAGAGAGCUGGUUUGGUGGGAGCCAUCUUUUAAAUCCGUAGGUGCUAUCUCUAGAGAGUUGGUUUGGUGGGAGUCAUCUCUUGAAGUGUGAGAGCUGAUUUGAUAUCGUCUAGUAAUUCUGGUAUACAACAGGGUCUCUCAUCUUUUUGAAUUCGUAGCUGUCACCUCUAGAAUUUUACGUAAUUAGACUAAAGUAUUUUGGACCGGUGGUUUGAGUCCAACAAAUUAUUAUUGUUAGUGGGUCUGGUUGUUACAUUGUGUCUCAUAUUAAAUACAAACUAGCAUUUAAGCUGUCUACAAUGUGAGAGGUUUUUUUAUUUAUGCGCUCAAGCUUUUGGUUUGAACUCCAGCCACGUUUUAACAUGACAUCAAAAGUUGAUUCACACUUUUUUUGCGGUCCAGUAUUUGUCAGUUCUUUUUUUCUAAUUUUUUGUCCAUUUGGUUCAAAGGAACACCAUGAGUUAUUUUGAACUUUUAGUUUUUUUUAAGUAGGGCCCUCGACUUCCAAUGUUUUUUUUUUUUUAAAUUUUUUUACUUAGUUAUAUUAAGAAUAUUCUUAAACUUAAUUUAUCAACUAUCAAUAAAUUUGACAAAAAUUUUAAUGUUUUGAUUAAAAUUAUUUAAUUUUGAAAAAUUAAAAAGUUAAGAACAUCUCAAUUAUAAAAAAAAAUAAAAUUUGAGAGUGCUAUUUCAAAACCACCUACAGUUAAAAGGGGUUUCUCCACAUAUUUUUAUUUAUAUAUAUAUAUAUUUAAUUUAAUUUGAAACUCUUUUUCUUUUUUUAUUCGGGUCCAUGGACCAUGGGCCCCACCCUCUCUGCGUGACCCUCACGCGACCCAUCGCGUCCGCUCUUUUCCCCAUCCAACGGUCGAGAUCGCCCCAGCCUCUCCUUCACUCAUCCCACGUGUCCUCCCCUAUAAAUACCCCCCCUCCUCUCUCCCAUUCGCUUCAAAUCAUCUCACACACACACCUAGAGAGAGAAAGAGGAGAGAGAGAGAGAGAGAGAGCGAGAGAGAGAGAGAGAGAGAGCGCUUUUCCCCAUCGCACAUCGAACUCCUCGUUCUCUCUCCGAUCGAUUCGGUACGUUGCCUCGCCUCCUCUCUCGGAUCGAUCGUGUCGUCGUUUCUCCGUUCUACUCCGAUUCUUCGUAGCAUUAUAUCGCGAUUUGUUGGAUUUCUUGCUCGUUUUCGCUAUCUCUUCCUCCGUUUCUAGGGUUUCGUCGUCGUUUUCCGAGAUUGUAGGGUUUCUGCUCUGCUUUUGAUGAGAUAUUUCUGCCUCAAAUUUUCGUUUUUUGGAUGUGAUUUUGUGGGGUUUUUGUUAUGAAGAGUGUCGAUUGUGAGUUGUGAGUAUUGCGAUAGGCGAACUGAUGAGCGUGUUGUGUGGAUUAGGGUUAGGGGUUGGUGAUGGCUUCGAAGAGGAUUCUGAAGGAGUUGAAGGAUCUGCAGAAGGAUCCCCCCACCUCAUGCAGCGCAGGUUCGUUUGCUGUUUAGAAAUGUUUGCGCUGAUCUUUUGCAAUAUGCAAAAUUCCUUCUGUGUUCUUGUUUAUGGUAGAUUGGAAUAUCGAGCACGUGGUUGGUUUGAUUUAAAGAAGUGCUUAUCAUUAUUGAUGUUAAGAACUGAUGAUUGUAGAGAUUGUGACAGUGUAUUUUCGAUUUCCUUUAGUCCAUUAUGAACUUUUGUAAUCUUAUAUAUGUUUGUUCCCCCAUAGUGCAGUGUUCGUAUUUCUAGCUUCCCUUGCUAUGUAGUGUGCACUUAGUUCACUUGUAUUAGGAAUAACGUAGGACUUACCUCUCAGUUGGAUAAACUUAAGCCUGAGAAGGCACAACUAGGACUGGCAUUCCUAGGUUAUGCUAUCUGGUAGAUUUUGAAUCUAGUGGAGUCGAUACAUAUUUUUUCUUCUGAUCUGAUUUCAGCUAGGUUUGCGUUUCAAACUUUUAGAAGUUCUAAUAUAGUUCUUAUCAUGUUGUUUUGUUUGCUAUGUGCAUAAUCCAAUGUGGUAGAGUGGUGACCUAUCCACAAUCCACAUGAAAAAAUGACAAAUCUUACAAGUGCCUGUUAAGACCUCAAUAUUGUUUAUACAAAGAACGAUUUGUUGAUCUGACAUGAUAUACUUUCAAAAAUAUUUCUUUCUCUGUCCUGUUGGGUGUUGGCCUUUCCACCUUUCAUCCUCUCUUCGUGUAAUUCAUUCUAUUCUCCCAUCCUUUCUUUUACCUAUUUUAUAUAAUUUUCCCUUUUACAUUAUUGUUGAAUUAUUAGGCUCAACAUUUCCCAUGAUUUUUCUUCUUUGUUGUGAAUCUUUUUUGCCUAACGUAUGACUUCAUUCUGCGUCAUCAAGCACCUUUCCACACUGCGAUAUGACAAGUCCCUCCCACUAUCCUUGCAAAUUUCCUAGAUUCUUUUUGGUAUCCAUAUCUUAUUUUAGAGGCAUGCAAAGCCACCAUGUUGUUGGAACCGCACUCAUUGUUCUGUUGCUAAGAAGUUAGAGGAUUUCAAUCAGGUGGCCAAACAUGGACUGCUUCUUGAUGUGGCUUUGAUACACUGUUUUCACGGUGAGAGGCUUAUAUCUCCCGAUAGGCUGAAGCCCAAAUUGAUUACACGAAUGAUGCUGCUGCUUAUGCAUUUGAGCAAGCUUUCAAUGCCUUUUGAUGUGGGACUAAUGGUGUGUGACAUGCUAUUUCACACAAUUCUUUGUGAAUGCUGUAGCACGUAUAACACUGAGAUGCUUUAGUUUCAUGCUUAAUAUGCAAAAGAAAUUCUUAAGGGGACUUUGGGGCCAUAAUUGCAUUAUGAAAAUGCUGUAAUAACUAGUACUUAGCAGAUAUGGUGAGCAAUUUAAGAUGUUACAGUUCCAUGAUUUUCAUCGCAGCACAUAGCUUGUAUAAACUAACUAGCUGUUAGAUUUGUUUGUUUACUCUGUCAUUUAGCAAUUUUACACAAUAUUUCUUAGUGGUUUUUCUGAGUUAUGCGAACAUUUCUUCUUAAUUUGCUACCUGAUAUGAUUGCGGUAGUGCUAACUGACUCUUUUGUGGUUUCGUGUAAAAGUUGUUCAUGUGAUUUUAUGUAUUGUUAGAACGAACUUAUAUGAAUGAGGAUAAUACUGAGAUGUAAUUCAGGUAUUACCAAUGCCAAAAUCAGUCUAGUGGUGUUGGGCACAUGUGGCCUUGUUCACUUAUUUUGCCGGUGACAGCUUCUGUAUUCUUUAGAUUGUAUAUUUAGUCCUGUGCUGUAUAUUAGAUUUGAUUUCUGUCGAUUUUUUAAGAACUUGGUGGAUUUUAGAACAUUAGGAGUAUUGAAAUCAAAUAAGCAAUUAGAGGACGGCUUCGACACUAUGUAAAAGGAUUCCAUAGUGAAUCAAUGUGGAUAUAUUUCAUGCAUUACAGGCAGUUACUUUAGUGCUGCAUUUCUAGUAAAUCUUGCAACUUGGCUAAUCUAAAACCACGUGCGGUUUCUACUUAGCUCUUUGGCCAUGUUUAUUUGAAGCAUUGUUUAUUUAGGAUCAGCUAUUUAUUUAGUACUAGGUGUGACAGAAGUGAUAAUACUACUAUGAUAGUAGCUAUUUUAGCUGGCCACUUAAGCUGGAUUUAAAACUUAAAUGAGACAUGUUGUUUACUGUGUCGUAUUUCUUGGCUCGAUGCACAAGUUGGCUUGGUUGUGCAACGUUUCCUGUUUUUUGCUGAAUUGGAAUUUUUCUCGAUCUUGUGCAUUGAUGUGAAACAGCACAUAUAUAAAGUUUUCCGUCAGAAAUUUGUAUUUAUCCAUUUAGCUGUUGCUUUUACUUUCUAAUAUUAACAUGUUUUAUAAUGCUCUCAUGUUAAACAACAUUUAAUUUGCGAGACUUCUGUCCUUCUUCUCCAUGUGCAUCAUCUCUGCCAUUUUAUGUUCUGAGCACGGGAAAAAAAUUGUUGCAUGCUUUUGUUCUGUAGAUAUAUGCAUAUGUGGCUUUCUAAACUAGCUCUUCUGUUCCACAUUGCCAGGCCCUGUUGGGGAGGAUAUGUUCCAUUGGCAAGCAACCAUUAUGGGGCCUGCUGAUAGCCCCUUUGCGGGUGGCGUAUUUUUGGUAAAUAUUCACUUCCCGCCGGAUUAUCCUUUCAAGCCACCAAAGGUAAACCGUUCACACUUCUUAGACUUAAUACUGAACCAUUUGACUGUUGAAGAUCUUAGUGUAACUCGUACUACUCUCUCGUCCAAUGUGUAUGAACUUUUACUUGGAAACUGUUUGUUGUUUUAGCCAUUGUCGGUUUUCUGGAUGACUAGUCCUUUGUGUGGAAUUUGUUUACUCAACUCGUGAAUUUAGUCGCUUGCGAUGGUUGCUUUCUAAGCUAUGUGCGAUUUUGGAUUCGCUCGAUGUAAUAUAUAAAUCGAUUUUUAUGUUUUAGGUCUCGUUCCGCACCAAGGUUUUUCAUCCGAACAUCAACAGCAAUGGUAGCAUUUGCCUUGACAUACUCAAGGAACAGUGGAGCCCUGCUCUGACUAUUUCCAAGGUAUUAGUUUUAUGCCGAGUUAUAUUCUUCCUAACACUUGGAAAAUCAACUUGUGCAGAUUUAUCAUGACUAAUUUGAUAAUAAGAUUCUGUUCUGGAAACUUUCUUUGAGUGGUUUUAUAAUAUUUGUAUUUCGUCUCUGAUCUUUUACCAAUUUAGAUGAAAAUUACGCCUUUCUGACGUUUCACUUUUCUGCACGCAACUCUGCGCCUGUUUGGCCUAGUAUUAGGGAUAGCUUUAUUGUAAGCUUUUCAAAUUUUGGAUGUUGCAGGAAGCCAAAAUGCCUCUUUUGGGCCCAAAAGCACAAGCUCCAAUAUGAAGCUUAUGCUUUUUAGCUGCUCCAGAAAGCUGUUUCGGGAAUCCUAAUAAAAGCAGUGUUACUGAACCCUGGACGGGCAAGUGUGCUUACAAUUAUUAUUAUUAUUAUUAUUAUUAUUAUUAUCAUUGUUAUUUUUCCGCAUCUGAGCAACUUGUGAGUUCAUCAUCUAUCAACACUUGGCUGAGCAACUAGAAAUGUUAGGAGGAUAGUGCAGGGGCAGCUUUUUUUUUUUUAAUAAUGAGAGAAUCAAGAAUAGAUUACAAGAGAGAUUUAAUGCAGAUUAUGUAGACAUCUAAAAACUAUUCAAACGGCAGUUUUGAUACUAUCCGUGUGGCAAAAAGCAUGAGUAACAACCCGUCCACGUAGCAAAAUUUCAGAGCAAUCUUCUUUCUACUUACACAUUAUGUCUAUACACUGAAUAUAAUUUAUUUUCUUUUACCUUUCUUCGUAAUGCUGACUUCAGAUCUUAUUUUUUUUCUAUCUUUUGGGCUGCAGGUGCUGUUAUCGAUCUGCUCGCUUCUCACGGACCCUAACCCUGACGACCCGCUGGUGCCGGAGAUAGCUCACAUGUACAAGACCGACCGAGCCAAGUACGAGUCCACGGCCCGAGCCUGGACCCAGAAGUAUGCCAUGGGCUAGGAGAAGCAGCAGCUCCUCGGCGGAUUAUAUUGUGAGCCCCAACCUUUUAUUUGCCUAAAUAAGUACAAACUCAUCUAAAUGGAAACACUUCUUCUAAAUCUACCUUCCUCGGUUGCAUGCAAUAUGAUUUCAUGGUCCUCGUUAAGCUUCGAGUCUUUCAGUAUCGUAGUCUGUAUUAUAUAUCUGAAUCCGAAUGGCCCCUUCAACUGAGCUGCCGGAGAACUUUGGUCAUCAUACCUUUUUAUCUGCAGUGUUUCGAUCUCUUAUAAUUGUAGUAAUAGAGUUAUUUCCGUUAUUCGUGAAUUGCAUAUUUAUACCCGUGCACGCGUCUUUUUUCGGGCUGUUUGGAUUAACCAAAUAAAUCAUUCGUCGAUCAAUUAUGUGGUGUCAAAAUUAGCUCCUCAAUAGUUUUUUGGAUUUUCAAGACAACUGAAAUUAUUGUGCAUUUGCUAACAUCCUUUCCUACUACGAGUCGGUAAUCAAGGUUCCAGAAAAAAAGGCCAGUAUUUUUUCGUCCUCGCUGGUUCUGUUCGAGAGUUCACUGAUGUUUGAUUAAUGUACUUUUCCGUCAGUAGUAGUGCUUUUAGAAGAAGCAUAUCAUACUUACUGACUUUCUUCCGCAGAUUCUUUUCGCACCAUCAGUGAAUCGAUUUUUGCCGGCUAACUUUCUGUAAGAAUUGAUUUUCGCAGUCUACUCUUUUUAGUUAGUCGGGACCAUCUCUUGCUUCAAAGUUCGGAGCGAGCCAUCUAACUUUCUGUAAGAAUUGAGUUUUGAUGUCUGCUCUUUUCUUUUCAAUUUAGUUGGGUUCUCUCGCUUUGAAGUUCGGGCAUACUUUUUUUUUUUUAAGUCUCUGAAUUGUUUAAUACAGCGAAGGGGGAUAUAUGCCAACAGGUCAAUUCAGUGCGGCACGAAAAUCGGAAUCCAAAAUAAUUAAUUUUUUUUUCUCAUAUUGUCGAACGCAUUAUAUUAAACUCUAAAUUUUUUAAAUAAAAAAUUAAGUAUUAAGUAUUAAACGUUUGUAUAUAUUAUGUAAAUGUAAAAUUUGCUCGGAUUUGGGUUUGUGUUUUGUAUAACUAGUUUUGGAAAUAAUAUCAGUUUAAUAUCGGAUAAACUUACUAUGUUUGAAUUCGCGUUCAGAUUUGGAUAAAAUUUCUAAAUAUCUUAACCCAGAGUCAUCUUUUUUACUGCAGCGGCGUUGUUCGGACCACUGUAGUAACCAUUUUCUCUCCUUUUUGGGGUUAAGGAGCGUACUUUGUAGCUGAUUACAAAAUCUUACCCAGCGUCGAUCAUAAAACAUCUAAAAUAUUCCUGUCAACGACAUCCGACAAGAAAACCGAGACAGCCGGGAGAAAUGCCUUUCUAGCCGUAAAUAAAAAUUCAUUUUGAAUUUUUAUUUUCUGAAUUUUCAUUAAAAAAUUUUUAGUUCUUGGUGUCCAAACAAAAGUUGUGAGGGCCGUGCCCCGGUUUAGAUAUCCAAAAACGUCACGUUGAGGAACUUUUCAUCUGCUGUCGCAUAUUAGUUUUGUCUCUAUUUAAGAAUUUUAAUCCCAGUUCCUGAUCUGCUGCUAUAUAUUAGUUUUGCCUCUAUUUAAGAAUUUUAACCCUUAACAAGAUUUUUUUUUUUUGUUUGUUUUUUUUUUUUUUUGAAGAAAACACCGGAUGAAUCCUUAGAUGGAGGUAAAAGUAACACGCGGCAACAGAUCAGGAGCUAAAGUUUUACUCCACAUUUAUAUGUUAGAGCAGUGUUUUGCAUACCAAAUCCGAUUUUAGAAUCCAAAUCCGGUCUAGUAGAAGUUUUAAAGGGAAAACUACAAAACCCCCUGUGGUUCGUAGUUUCUCAUUUUGCCCCCCCUGUAAUUUAAAAUGUAUCAAAUUGCCCCCCUGUGGUUUCGUUUUUAUCUUUUCGGUAGCUUUUUCGUUAAUAUUUCAUUAAAUUAUAUAUAAAAAACUUCAGAUAAUCAUCUAGAUUUAUCAAAUAUUUACUUUAGUACCUUUUAAUUUUAACUUUAUCACUGAUUUAAGAAAAAAAAAAAUCGAUAAAAAAAAGAGAAAAAAAUCACAAGAGGAUAAAUUGAUAUAUUUUAAACCACAGGGGGUCAAAGUGAGAAACCACGGGGUUUUUUUGAAGUUUUCCCAGUUUCAAACGACAGUUUGAUUAAUGGAGUAGGCCCAAAGAAAUUUGUAUAAAUCCUCCGCAGAUAAGCUUACAGGUAGUAGUAGCAUAUGCUACAAAAUGAUUUAACUAAUAAAUAAGCUUAUACAUCACAUACUACAAAAUGAUGUUACUAAUAAGUACAUUCCCCCCCAUUUAUCUUAUUCAGGAGUUUAAUACAACAAAUCUACAAACAAGUAGAGUUUCAGCAUCAUCCUACUUUGAUAAGAGCAGCCGAAAAACUAACUAAUUUGCUUAAUCUCAACACAAGCUGAGUUACUCUACAUUUAACUGCAAUAUGCUUCCUCAGUUUGCUCAAAACACAUGUUCCAUACUGCCCGAAAAUCGAUCAGAUUUUCUGGUUUCAGAAUACGAAGAAUGAUGCGCGACAAAAAGAGCCGGCCGCCCCCUACCGUGUGAAUAGUUUGCCCGAUGCGAGAGUUGCAGUAGAGACACCAAAGACGCGGAAAACGAGUCGGUUUUACCGGGUCGAGAUCGGGGGCGCUCGGGUUGUGUUAGAUUCACGGCCUCACGAUCCCGCAGAGUUUCCACCCUCCAAGGCCGGCCGAGGAGAAAGCCUGCAUUUGUUUAUGUGAUUAGUAAGUGUAGAGGACGAGUGAAUGAGCUCAGAUCGAUGCCUUAGAUAAAAAUCCGAACCACGUAACAGCAUAUUUGUUUUACCGGAGGUGAAAUUCAGAUCGAAUUAGACUUCUCGGUGAACUAAAAUUUAGAAAAAAAAAAAAAAAAUACAUUCCUUCCGUUGUUUGUUUAUAUAGCUACAGAACUGAAGGUUUUUUUUCAGUUCUGUUGUUUGUUUGAUAAAAUAGUAAAUGACGUAAAAGCUGGGGGUGGAAGAGAUGGAUUAAUGUUUUAUUAUUUUUUCUCUUUUUUUUCUGCCAUUGACUUCAGCUCAGCUUAGACUGAAGUCAAUUACAGUAUUUUGUGGAGUUCGAGUUUCGUUCAAAGAUAAAGUUACGAUAAUCCAAGUAACAGAAGUAAACAUUUAUGGACGAAAACCACUUUAUCCCUCUUCACUUUCAGCUAAACCAACACACCCUAAAAGCAAAUAACAUAGGGCAAGAACUACACUAAGAAAAAACUUCACAACAAAACGCAUGGAGAUCCCCUCAACUAUAGGCCAUUUGGACAUAGGUCCCCCAACUUUAUUAUUAUUAUUAUUAUAUUAGGGAUAAUUGCCUAUAUACCCCUCAUAUGUUUGGAAAUAUCCGAUCUAUCCCUACUUUUUUUUUUUCUUUCUAAAAUACCCCUCAUAUGUUCCACCGUUAUUCUAAAAUAUCCCCGCAGUUAUCCUCUGUUAACUUAACUCGGGUUAAACAUGGAUUAAAUGUAUACUAGAGUUAAAACCUAAAUAAAAUACCUAUUUUGCCCCUACUUUAUUAUAUUAAUUCCUUAAGUUAUCCUCUCCUCUCCAAACAUGGUCGCCGGCUCCUCCGUCUCCAUCUCGCCUCAUCUCCUCCCAGACCACCACCAUCUCCCACACCUCCACCUCCAACACCACCCCUCUCACCGCUCUCGUCGUCCUUAGGAUUAAAUACACUACCGAGGUGAGGCUUCUAUACCCUUAAUCUGAGUUAGCUUUGGAAUCAAUUAAGCGCUAAUUUUGCGCUUACUAUGCGCUUAAAAUUUUUAAUGCAUAAUUUGCCGAACAAGGCAUAAAAAGGCUUUUCAAGCCUUUUUUUGCGGUUUAGAAAGAGUUUUUUUGAACAAGCGCUUAAUAAGCGUUAAGCGCUUACUAAGCUGAUUUUUUUGCCGUGAGUGCCAGCGCCUAAGCGCCGGCUCCGAGCGGCGGGCGUAGCAGCGGCGCGAGCAGCAGCGCCUAAGCGCCGACUCCCAGCGCAGCAGCAGCGAGAGCAGCGGCUUGAACAGACCCAACAGGAGGAGGAGGAGGCGGCAGGACCGGCCGUGGCCUUCGUUCUCGGCGGCGCUGCCGUCUACGGGAGAGCACGGCAGGCGUCUUUUUUCUCCUUUUCUUUGUCAUUUUAUAUAGUCCCGAAAACUCGUAUGAACACGCGCCAGGUGCUCCGGUGUACUCUCCCUCCAGGUGCCACCUGGAGGGAGAGUAGGCCAGGUGCUCCGGUUUGACCGGAACACCUGGUGCGCCUCCCGCACGUCCCACGCCUAAGCCUCGCCUCUCGCACGUCCCCAGGCUACCGCGACGCCGGGAGAACGAGGGUUGCGGCCGGUUCCGCCACCUCCUCCUCCUGUUGCUGCUGCUCUCGCCGCCUCGUCCUCCUGCUGCUCUCGCCGCUCUCUGCCCUAGCAGUCGGCAGCCGGGAGUAACGAUUGCAACGACAGUUAGCCGAGUCCCUCCGCCGCCUUCUCCUCCUCCUCCUCCNUUUUAAAUAUAUUUAAUCUAUAUAUAAAAAUUAUAAUAAUAAUAUAUAUAGUAUAUUAAUUAUUAUAUAUUUAUUAUGUAGCCGAAUUUUUGAUCCCGAAUUUUUAAUUGGUAAACGUAUAAUACCCAUAUAAAUCACGUAUCCAAAUAAUUGCCAAAUCCGUUUUUUAGCCGUAUUUUUCAACGAAUUUAAAAAUUAAAAGACAAAUUAUAUCCGUACCGAAUUUUUGCCGAAUCCGAAUUAACUAACUAUGCCUCCAGCCACCAAGAUUGGUUUAGCUGCGAUCGAUCUCAUCCGUUCAUCUGCUUGCUCCCGACGUGCUUAAUUAAUUAAUUGAUAUUUGAAGGGCAAAUAAGAAAAGUAUUUGCUAUAUGAAGGGUAUAUAAGAAAAGUUAGUUACGGUACAAGGGUAUAUUGGAAUGGACAAAAUGGUAAUUUUUCAGAGAUAACGGCAGCUCACUAACGGAACUUAACUCCAGGGGUAUAUUAGAAAGACUUGGAACAUAAGAAGGGUAUUUUCAAUAUUAGCCUUCUAAGAGGGAUAUAUAAGAAAACCGGAAACUUUUCAGGGGUAUAUAGGCAAUUGCCCCAAUAUAUUAUUAUCAUCCUUUUAUAGGGUAAAAUGUAUAAAGCUGCCGAUCUGAACUUUGGCCCAUUUUGAAUUAACUACUUAAUCCUUUAACCUUUGGAUUUAUUUAUUUAAUUUAAGCCAUUUAAUGUUUCUCUCUCUAGAAACUUUGGGCCCAUUACUUAGUUUAAUGGAAUCAUAAUCGCAUGAAUUACAUGAAAUGUGCUAACAAUCAAGUCUGUAAAAGUAAAACGACACAUUUAAAUUUGAAAGUGUAAGAGUCGUCAAAUGAUUCAAAUCAAAUGGAUUAAAAGGUUAGAUAGCAAAAUCAAAACUUUUAAGUAUUAGGUAGUUUGAUCAAGAUUUGUCAUAGUUCGGAUAAGUUUGUUUCAUAUAUUUUUUUACCUUCUUUUUUUUAUUUUUAAAUUGACAGGCCCUGAACUUACUAACCUCACUGUACAACUAAGAAAAAUCACUAACAUUGUGAUGUAUCUAAGAAGAAUCAGGAAGAUCUCAAAGUAUAUUACUAACCUCGUCCCACGAUUUCCCCGCAGCUUCGAGCAAUGCGGCGUUGCAUGUCUUUAAUUCGACUGUACCACCAGAAAACAUAGAGGCUGCUUCCUCCCAGCCUCUGUUAUGUCCCAUGCACCUGCGCGAUUACCAUAAGAAUACUAAGCUAAGAAAAACCUAGGAAGCAACUUAACUUAGGUUCCAUUUGGAAUUGCAAGGAGAUUACAGUCCGUACGGUGAGAAAGUACGAUGAAAAAAAAUAUCAUAUUUGUUUCCGUAUAUAAUAUUACAUUCCGCAGAUAGCAACGAGUCGAUUACGGUAUAUUUUUUGUAAUCCCACUGAAAAACAGAGGAGCAAAUCUUUAUAUACUCUCGCUCCAACUCAAUUUUGUUUACUAGUGUUAGAUGGGCCUCAAUACCAAACAUGCCUUUUCUUGGUUUAAAAUUUAUUUGUUCAUAAAAGUGAUAUGAAUUGUUGGAUUGAAAAUAUGAGAUGGGAUGGACGACCAGCACGAUGCGGUGCGCACUUGGCGCGGGAAAUAAUUACGCAUAAAGCCAUAAACUACUAGGGUAUGCAAAACCAUGGAACGAUAUUAAAACGACGUACAUCACGGUGAGGAUCUCGUCCCUCGAAUACUCGCAAAUCGCCUUCUGCAGAUGCUCUGCCGUUUGACCAUCCAUCGCUGCAAUCGAGUAGAAGCUCGGCACGAACCGCACCUCUGCUUCAGAAAACCCCUGCGCAUGCUCUUGUAGGAUCUGAAGGGUCUCCUUUGUUCGAGCGGCAUCACUGUAACAUUUUUUAACAGUAAUUUAACAGUUAUCCAUAUGAGGUAGAAACAUAAAGAUCUUACCUGCACUAUAAUUGCUGUAACAUUUUUAAACAGUAAUUUAACAGUUAUCCAUAUGAGGUAGAAACAUAAAGAUCUUACCUGAACUACAUCGCAUUUUAGAAUGGGAACCCAAAUUUUAAGAGCUCGAAGUUACUACCUUAUCUUUCACUACUAUAUGUUUCGUAAGGUUUCACAAAGGUCUGUUACAAGUUCACGGUUUCCGUCAGAAAAGUUAUUGAAUAUUCCAUUAAGUUACAAAAAUUUCCAUUAGGACACAGAAUAUUCCAUUCAAAAAGGAUAAAAGUACCGCUAAUUUCUAACUGAGAGGCAGUUGAGUUGAAAAUAGCAAACGAUUGGGAAGUAAAAUAAUAAACAUUUAACGUUCUUAGCAAUUAAUAAGUUAAAAGUGAUUGCAGAUAGAACUCGCUUUCGAUUCCAUCUUUAGAAUUUUAUACAUUAAUAACGUGAUUCUGACCUCGAUAGGAUUAGCUCCGGUAUCCACCCCAGCUGCUGAAGCUUGCGAGAAACGGAAACUGCAUCUAUCCGCCCGAGUUUGCUCAACGGUCGAUCAUGGUCUAAUAAAAGGAAGAGGUAAUCACUACAUUAUCUUGAGAUUUCGGCGGAACAGAAAAGUCAGCCUAAGAACUUACCUUUUCUAUAUCACCUUUGCAUGAUUUAGUAAUAAUAUGAUGGCAAAAAUUACGUAAAAAUUGCAAAGCAAAGCACGUAAAUUAUAGAACUUUCAUUAAGGACGUAAGUGUAAGAUUGAUUCCAACCUCUUUGCUUCUGAAGCAAUUGAAUAUUAAUAAAUUACUUCAUAAACUAUAGAAUGAUGGAUAGAAGAAGAAUCAACAGUAGCAACUUAGAAGAUUUAAUCUAAAACAAAAUUUUCAGAAUUCCUAAUAACCUCUGCUGAUUUUAUAUUUACUCUAAUCUUAAACACUAGCAUGCAAAUCCUUACGAUACCACUCUUUUAAGUCGGAUUAAUAUUGUCGAACGUCGGUUAAUGAAGUGAUGCUAUUGCUUUAACAAAUUAAAUACAAUGACAAUAUUGAAAUAAAGAUGAAACUUUAGUUUAGUAAACGAAAACUAAAUACCCCUAAGGGUCCGUUUGGUUUGCGUUAUGUAGCAUCACUUGUUAUCUCAACGUGACUAGUAAUCUGACAUCUGUUAUUUAGAUUACUACUAAUAUUACAUUAUUUCAUUUGGUUCGAUGCAGCAAUGUAAUGUCGAAUUACUACGUAUAUAAGAUUAUUUGUCUGGAUCAUCUUAUAUUUAAUUAAAUAAGAAAUAAAUAUUGAAUUUAUUUUCGAUUUAAAUUUGAGGCAAUUGGGAUGUGGAGGGUUAAUUUUGUAUUUUUGCAUCAGUUGCAGGAUAACCUGCGCUCAGUAAUGUUAAGAUACUCACUCCACUCGCUAUUUAUAUUUUGGGGGUUAUCUUGUGCUAUUGGUAAUGUUGCACUACCAAUUUGAUUACUUGUCAAAUGAACCAAAUAUAGUAAUUUGAAAAGAUUACUGCGGGAUACCUUGUAAUUUUAGUAGGAUAAUGCAAACCAAACGCACCCUAAAGUAAAUUUUAUUUUACUACAAAGUAAUUUUCCCCACUUUCGUAAAGUUGAAAAAAUAAAUAAACAAAUUUUGACACAAAUCCAAUUCAGUCUAAUUCACAUGAAGCACACAUACCAUGUCAUCAAUCAAAUAACAAAACAGUCAAAAAGAUCAAAUUUCGACAUAAAUCCAAUUCAGCAUAAUUCACAUGAAGCACACAUACCAUGCCAUCAAUUAAAUAACAAAACAGUCAAAAAGAUCAAAUUUUGACACAAAUCCAAUUCAGCAUAAUUCACAUGAAGCACACAUAUCAUGCCAUCAAUUAAAUAAGAAAACAGUCAAAAAGAUCAAAUUUCAACACAAAUCCAAUUCAGCGUAAUACACAUGAAGUAAACAUACCAUGUCAUCAAUCAAAUCAGUCAAAAAAGAUCAAAUUUCGACAUAAAUCCAAUUCAUCAUAAUUCACAUGAAGCACGCAUACCAUAAAAUCAAUUAAAUAAGAAAACAGUCAAAAAGAUCAAAUUUCGACACAAAUCCAAUUCAGCCUAAUUCACAUGAAGCACACAUACCAUGUUAUCAAUUAAUAACAAAAUAGUCAAAAAGAUAAAAUUUCAACACAAACCCAAUUCGACGUAAUUCACAUUAACCAAACAUAUCACAUCAAUUAAACAAUAAAACACUUGAAAAGCUAAAAUUUGGGUCAAACCCACUUCAACUUAAUCCGCGUGAAUUCUGAAUACCAUGCCAAUUUCUUAUCAAACCAACCAAUUACUGAUACCAUGAUUACAUGAAAUAAAACUAGUCAAACAGUUGAAAAAUAUCAAAUUUUGACACAGACCCAAUUCAACCUAAUUCACCAGAAGCACAAAUCCACAUCACUCAAAUAAAAAAAUGAAAAAAAAAGAUUAAAAAGGUCAAAUUUCGACAUCACUCAAAUACCACAUCACUCAAAUAAAAAAAAAAGGGUUAAAAAGAUCAAAUUUCCACACAAAUCCAAUUCAACUUAGUAUACAUUAAGCACACAUAUCACAUAACUUAAUUGAUAAUACUAUUAAAUAAAAAUGAUGAAAUUUUUGGCACAAACCCAAUUCACCCUAAAUCCACAUCAACCACAUAUACCACAUAACUUAAUUGAUAAAAAUAUUAAUAAAAAAUACCAAAUUUUGGCACAGACCCAAUUUAACCUAAUUCACCUAAAGCAAAAAUACCACAUCACUCAAACAAAAAAAACAGAAAAAAGAGGGUUAAAAAAGAUCAAAUUUUGUCACAAAUCCAAUUCAACUUAAUCCACAUUAAGGACGCAUAUCACACCACUUAAUUGAUGAUACUAUUAAUAAAAAAGAUCAAAUUUUGGCACAAACCCAAUCACUCUAAAUCCACAUCAACCAUAUCAACCACAUCACUUAAUCGAUAAAACUAAAAAAAAAGAUCAAAUUUUGGCACAAACCCACUUCGCCCUAAUCCACAGGAAGCACGAAUACCACCCCAAUUCGAAACCUAACCAAAACCUAAACCCUCUGCAUCCCGAUUCCAUCAAAAACGAGAAAAUGAAUGCGAAAUAGUAGUAGUAGUAGUAGUAGUAGUAGUACCCCUGGUGAGGCGAUCCCCGAGGGCGCUCUCAGCGUGGCGGAGGAGGAUGAGGCGGCGGCGCGGGAGCUCCACCACGGCCUCCGCCUCCGCCACCGCCGCCUCCGCCGCCGAGGCGGCGGAGGCCGAAAUGGGGGAUCGGGAUCGGGAUCGAAAGGGGAGAGAGUAAACCCUACAACUACUACUACUACUACUACUACUAUGGCGACGAAGAAUCCUACGAGGGGGAGAGGAGGGGGAGAGGAGAAGGGGAGGAGGGUUAGGGUUAGGGUUUAGGGUUACGGAGGAGGAGGAGGAGGAGGAGAAGAAGCUCAUUUUUUGAGUGAGGAGUGUGGUGGAUGAGCUUAAAUUAAAUCAAAUUAAAAAUAAUAAUAAUAAAGGUAAAAAUGCAUUGAGGCCCUCCUACUAUGGAAGAAUUGGAAUUUACCUCCUUGAACUAUGUAUUUGGUUUAAAAAAAAAAAGGGAUUUCCAUUUUUUGGGAAAAAUAAUGUUUAUUAAAUUUUUAAAAAAAUAUUUCGUUAAAUAUAUCUAUUGUUGUCACACCUAUGGGAUGCAGAUUUGAGAGGAAGAUUAAUUUGAAACCGCUUGAUCACUAUAAGAAUAAUGUCGUCAAAUCGUGAAAAUUCGUUAUCUUUGAAAUUCAAAUAGUUUAAAUUGUAUUUAAUAGUAUUGAUCGCGGAUUCAAAUGGCCCAUCGUCAGAAUGCGGCAUUAAUUAAAAAAAGUGGUCUCUGCAUUACAGUAUUUGGUUUUUAGUUCAAAUAGGGACAAAAAUUUUAUGGGCACCGNAUCGUGCAAAAAUAAUUUGUUUGAGCACGUUGCCCCGAUGAGUGCCGCGUAUGCAGCAGCGUCCAUCCGUACCCUUCCUUCCCCCUCUCUUUCUCUCUCUUCCUAAAAAUCAAGCCCACCAUUUUUAUUAUUAUUUUUUUUUAGGGUGCGGAUGGGCGUUGCUGCACACGCGGCGCCCAUCCAGGCACCGUGCCCAAAUAAAUUGUUUGGGCACGGUGCCCAUAAAAUUUUUAUCCUUCAAAUAGUUUAAGAUCAUAUUUAAUAGUAUAGAUCGUUAAUUCAAAUAAAAGUAAACGGCGUGAAAUGCCCCACUGUGAAUCCAUAAGAAGGUUUAGAAGGCAAGUGGCCUGGGAUUUAAGCCCAAUAGAAUGAGGGCCCAUUUUGUUGGCCUAUUUAUGACUCGAAACCUUAAAUUGUAGCCCAAACAAAGCCUAGUUUACAAUUGAUGCUUUGAGGGCCGAUCCAGUGAUCUCUACUCGUACCCGCGGGUGCCUACAGUUUACCUGCAAAUUUUCAGGCAUAAGCACUAGUUCUCUUUACCCACAGUAUUGCGAGUAAAACUGGUGGGUACCCAUUAAAAAUUAUGAGUAUUUUGGAAGACUCUGACGUAUCUGUUUUAAAACAUUAGGCAGCCAAAUAACCGAUAAGUUAUGUGUAUUUUUACCAAAAAAAUAAAAAUUAUAAAAAAAACACUCCUACUUUAGGUACAUAAUGAAUAUCACGUGCACAUACUGAAGAGAUAAUAGAAAAGACAAACAGCGAAGACAAUAAUUCUUAAGGGGUUUAGCUCUGACACCAUUUUAAUAGAAUGUCCUAAAGGUCAUGGCUACUAUACUAUUAUGAGUAUUGGAGCCCUCGUACUCAUAAGUUGUUUUCAAUGAUGGAGUUUCCGAAUCGACGAUUCACUCCGUUAAAUAUGAUCUAGAGUAUUUGAAACUUCUAGUAAAUAAAUUUUGUAAAUUUUCGAAAUCAUAAUAAAGUCCAUCAAGUGGGCAUAAAAUGAACGGUCAAAAUCGAACGACGUCCUAAAAAAGGAUGAUCGGAUCCUUUAAUUCAAGAUCGGAGUUAUUGAUCUUUAUCUAUGCAGUGAAUAGAAUUUUCUAUCAAAAAUUCAACAAAUUCCGAUUCUUUUACACCGUUAAACUAGCAAGUAUCCCAUACCGGCCGUUAAAAAUUGUCAAAUUUGUGACCUCUUAAUCGUAAGAUAAAUGAUGUCGAAAAUUCAUAAAAUUUGAUUUCUAGAAGUUUUAAAUGUCAUAAAUAACGUUUAACGGUGUGGAUCGUCGAUUCGGAAGUUAUAUCAUCGAAAACAACUUAUGAGUACGAGGGCGAUCGUACUCAUAAUAGUAUAGUAGGCGGACCCUGUCCUAAAUAUCGAAUUUACUCAAAACAAUAUGUUGGGUAUUUGUUAUUAGUUAAAAUAGAUCCAAAUUCUUACCUAGGGACAAUUGGCCCAGGAGUCUAAAAAGUUAGGUUGGAUUAAGCCCAAUAAGUUGAGUAGGGUUGCGAUUCACAAUAUACUUAAUGUUUUUUUUUUUUUUUGAGAAAUACAAUAUACUUAAUGUUAAUAGACUCAACAAUAGAUCUAACGUUUAUGUGGAUUGAAUCAGAUCAAAAUCUGUAAGUGCUGUAGUUGAGGCGUUAAGUGCAUAGGGUGCGCUCUCCUAUUGGUAUGUGCUUUUGGAAUAGUUUGUUAGCGCUUACGAUCCAAAAGGAUAACAGGAAAAAUAAUAAAAUGAUAAACGAGAAUUUUUAGGGGGUUUAGAAUUAGCUCUGAUGCUGUUUUGGUAGGAUACCGUAAAAAUUGAAUCUAGUAUAAAAUGGUCUAGUGUUAGUCUUAACAAUCGCAAUCCCAUACUCAAUGGGGAGUGACAUUUUCACUAAAAUGUAAACAUUUACCCUUCAAUCUUUUCAACCUGGAUUGCACAGUGACAAUCAACUUCACUAUUUCAAAUAGAAUAUAUAUAUAAUAUAUAUAUAUAUAUAUAUAUAUAUAUAGAGAGAGAGAGAGAGAGAGAGAGAGAGAGAGUGUUGAGCUGGAAUAUUAUUGGUAGCAAACGGACUCCGUUGCCACCCAUUUAUUUUUGAUGAUGGAGCCUCACGAUCGGCACCAGUGAAAAUAAUCUAUACCACUUGAAGUAUCUAGAAAUUAAAUUUCAUGCUUUUACGAUAUUGUUCUCUUGUCCAUCAAGAGGGUGUAAAAAUGAACGGUUGAAAAUGAAUAUCCUCUAAAAUGUGAUGAUAGGAAUUUUAUAAUCAAGAUCGAGAGUAUAGAUCUUGUUCUAAAUAGUUUUAAAAAAAUUUUAACCAAAAUUCAAUUGAUUUGGAUAACUUUACACCGUUAAACAAAAAAACGUCUCAUAUCUAUCAUUAAAAUUGUAAAUUUUGAAACUGUGAGAUCAUUAGGUCAAUGAUGUUGAAAAGAUUUGAAAUUUGAUUUUUAGAUACUUCAAGUGGUAUAGAUUAUAUCCAACGGUGCCGAUCGUCGAUUUGAAGGUUUCAUCAUCAAAACAAAUGGGUGACAACAGAGCCCAUUUACUAUCAAUAGCAUUCCAACUCAUCUCUCUCUCUCUCUCUCUCUCUCUCUCUCUAUAUAUAUAUAUAUAAAACAUUCAUGAAAUAUUACAAAUCAACUAAACAAAUAGCUUUUUA